UGGCUUCUAGACUGUUCUAGGUUGAGGAAAAUUGCCGCACACAUAAUUAUCUCGUUGUAAACCCGACGUGUGGGCCAUCCUUCCAUAUUUUUUGAUAACCCCCUGCAGAAAUAGACAAACACCAAAACUCGUGGAAUUCUAUCAGAUAAAACCCUAAUUCUAGGUGUUUGGUGCAUAUUGAUCCUUUUCCAUGUUUAGUUGACGGUUGAAUUUGGCACUUAAGGACCAUCAACAAACUCCCCCAAGCUUACCCUUUGCUCGUCCCUGAGCAAACAGCUAAACUCAAAUGGAUCAGGAGUUUCUUUGAUGUUUUCUUUCCUGACAGGCACACAUGCUUUCAUAUAGAAUUCUCCCAAAUUAGAGUAAAGUGUCAUGGAGCUUAGUACCUGCACUUAAGUCUUGGGUGGUUGAAAGACAAAAUAAUUAAGUCAAGCACUAUUCCUCCUAUCUAUACUUCACCUUUGUUCUAGAGUUUUGCAUAAGUUUUCAAAAAUAAAGCUCAGAGUUCCUAGACAUGACUCUCUCUCAAGUCUCUUUAUAUGUGGUAUUUGUGGAUCCUUACCAAGGUGUCACUUACCUAUAGCUAAUGGAAAGUUUAGGUGGAGCUUAUAGGUGUGAAAAAUAGCUCAUACAUAUGUUGUUUAAUCGAACCAUGGAUCCAAAGUAAUUCAACAUAUAAUUAAAUCAAAAUGUGCAUGUGUGGUGGAGUAAAUGAUAGUAAUGGUGAAAAUGUAUAAGUGAUGAUAAAACUUAGUUCUCAUUGCUCCUCAUGUUGCUAUCUCUCCACCUCUCUUGAUCUUUGCUUUGGGAGAACAUGGGCUAUCUUUUCUUCUCUUUUUUUUUCAGGUGGGUAGUAAAUACCCCUAAUUCUAUUGUCGGACACUUGUCCAUUUUUCCGCUCAGGUGGGCAUCUUUGUACCCCUAAUUCUACUCCAGACACUUGUCCAUUUUUACCUCUCGUCUCACUCUUUUUCUUUCUUUUUUUAGGUUUUGGGCACUUGCCCCUUUUUAUUUCCUCGUAUUUUUUUGCAUAACCCAUGCCUCUUCUGCAUUGAAUCUUUUUGGGGAGAGAGAAUAACAACACUUGGGACAGUGAGUGAUAACAAUAUUUUUAGCAGAUUUUUGAUGAAUGGUGGUGGAUAGUGUAAUAGACGUGUGCAAGUGAGUAUCUUGAUUUAACUACAUGAAAAGCUCCUAAGGGUCUACACAGCUCGAUCAAACUCAAUGCGAAUAUAAGUAGCAAAAGAUAUAGAAAUUAUAGCAAGUAUGGCAGUGGUAGGAAUUUUUUCAUGCUAGGAACUCAUCAUAUGAUUUGCAAGUUUUCAAAAAUGAAUCUCCAGAACUUAGUGUAGUAAGAACAAGAUAAAUAGUAGCUCAAACUUUAUAUCAUGUCUAUCUCUUACCUAGACUUUAGUUUUUGGUUCAUGCUCCCAUAGAUAUUAAAUUUCAAGUUUUAGCAAUUCCUAGGAGAACUCUGAUUUGAAAGCUAGGUACUUGAAAGUAAGUAAACAGAGCAAUUGUUCAUCAUUUCCAUCAUGCAUCUUUUUGGUUUUUUCAUUUUUUCUAGAGGUUAAACUUAGGAGGAAAAAUAAAGCACACUUAUGUACACACUCUUUUUUAUGUGGUUUUUCAUUUUUAAGGAAUGCAGUAAAUUAAGCAAGAAAGUAUUUAUUGGGUUUUCUAAGCUUCUCAUUUUUUUUGAAAUACUAAAACAGAAAAAUAAAUAAGAAAAACAAAUAAAAACUUACUCAGUAAAACAGGGAGGAACUCCCCGUUGUUGGAUGUGGUUGUGUCGGUCUUACUCAAUGUUCCAGAACCGCAUCAUGGUGGUGAUGUUGUCGUUCAUCGUCAUGGUGUCUCGCCUCAGGUCUUGUACUGCAGCGGCGUGGUCCUAGUUCCACUUUUGUUGCUGUUCCAGGAGUCGUCCAUGCUCAAUUUGCCUAUCUUGGAUGGCGAGAAGGGUGUUGUCGGUGCGGUUGAAGAAGGCGCCGACCUCUUGGUAGUAGUCCCCGGAGAACACAUAGGAGGCAUCAGAGUACCAUCCUGCAUCAAAUUGGGGCUAGGGCCUAGACCCUGAAGCUCCAAACGGAUUAGUGGAGUACCUUCCUGAACGGAAAGGCAGUUCGCCCACUGGUGAUCUUGGCCCUCCGGCCACGUCUCCCGUGCUAGCUCCUGUGGCUGAGCGUGUUGAACCCACGGGUCCCGAAUAACUCGAGGGUUGUAGUCGCGAUAAUGUAGGUGUGCUGCUUCUUCUGGCCCGGGAUCAGCUCCAUACCAGGUGCGUUCUUGAUUGGUGUCCAUCCUUUCGGAUGCCACGCACUGUGGAGCUCUCUGGUUCACCGGUGACACUGCAAUCUCAAUCAAAUAAUUUUGAACGACAUAGAGGCCAAGGUUCGGGUUAGGUAACUGAAUCUUGCCUUUAUUAUCGUACAACAUAUACAUUACAUUCCCUUCCUUUUUCAGCAUCCGAGCUUGUCUAAAUGUGUCAUAGCCAUGAUACAUUCGUAACUCGUCAAUGAAUUCCAAUGACAAGUUUUCUAGCAAAUUGAGACUAGAGGCUAGACGAGUGAUGAGUGAAGUACAACCGAUAGGUCCCUGAAGACUAGGUAUACUGAGCCAAUGAGCAACCAAAAGAGUAACAGGUGAAGUAAGUACUUUAUUUAUAGCAGCAUAAAGAAGUUGCAAAUCUCCUACUCUUACUUUUCUAAUAUCAUCGUGAUGGAAAAGAUUGUACCCGAUCCAUUUGUGGAACAUCCGGAGAGUAGGAUGUUCCAUGUCACUGGUUUGGGCCUGAACAUAAUAUUCAUCCCUUGAAAUCUCUCUUUAGAACUGGUGCCUCUCAAAAUUAGGCAAAUCGGUGUCAAUGUCUAAGAUGCAUCUUGAAGAGAAACCGAGAUGGUCGCUCAGUUCUCUCCAAGAUAACAUGAUGUCUUGUUUGAACAUCCGAAAAGCGAUACCCCCUCAUAAUAUUGCAAAGUGUAGAGACAUUCAAUGGUGAGAAGACGGGAACCUAGCUCAGUUAUAUCCCGAAAGUUUGUCCAUCCCAUCAUCUGGAAAAUCAAGUCAAAUUUGGUAUCCAUACCUGUCUCUUGCAAUAGGACAGGAUCAAGAGUGGGGGUGUGAAUGAAUUCCUUGUUCUUCAGUUGCCAGAAGAUUUCCUUCUCCCUACGGGUCUUCAGACCAAGGUCUCCUAUCUUGAGGGGAACCUUGACUCUUGUACCUGACGAAGACGAUGGAGCUUGCUGGGGCGUCGGGUCGACGCUCAUCUCCGAUUGGUGCGAGGAGAGUCAGGAUGAACUCCUCGUCCCAAUGUUCUUGAUGGCCUUGGCCACGUUCUUCGCCUUCCUAAACAUCCUGCAAAAAUUGACACAAACAAAAACUCAUGGAGGAUGUGAGAGAUAAAAGUUAGUGGUCAGCCGUCCAAAAAGUCAGUCGUCUAAGGGUUAGUCGUCCGAGACAAUUUUAAGCACUUCUGCUUUGGACAGCAGGACCACUACUUAUUCAAUGAACCUUGCUCUCUCUCUCUCUUCUAUCAAAAACUACCAAACUCUCUUGCACUCUUCUCUUCCCCUCUAUUCCCCUCACUUCACUACUAGAGCUCCUCCUCUGGAAACCGAGAACUGAAGUUUGCGUGGUUUUCUAGAAUGCUUGUGUGAUGGAGAUGGAGGCAGGAGGUGGAAAUUUAUAGGAGGAUGGGGGGAUAGGGCAGACGCCCUGAACAGUAGGGCGGGCGCCCCACCCAGGUGGCCUUCCUGGCUGCAACUUCUCCACUCCCUCCUUUGCUUAGCUCUAACACCAAAAAAUGCUGAGUGGGUGGUGGUUGGACGGUGGAAAAAUGUCUAGUGAGUGGAGAGGUGUUGGUGGAUGAAAUAAUGUGAUGAGAUGUGUGUGAGGUAUGGUGUAUGACAUGUGGGACCCAAUGGGUGUGGGUCAUGCUUCUAGUAAAUAUAAUGCAGGAAAAACUAUGAGAAUUGGAACUUAUUAAGAAGAAUCGUGGAAAAAUAUUCUUGUGCCUCCACUAUAAUUAAUAAAUAUGGGUUGUCACACACCAUAAAUAUUAUUUAUAUGGGGCUUUUGAUUAUUAUAAUAAUGCUAUGAAUAAAUAUAACUAAUGCAAGAAUUAAUUAUGCAAAAAUUUAAACAAUGUGGAUAAAUACCGAUUUACCUUCCAGAGAGGGUUUGGGGUUUUUAGGUCCCCCAAGCUGGACCUCCAAACCUUUUAAUCUUUUGAAUUUCCUUCCUCCGGAGUUGGUGUCUCUAGUGGUUCUUCUUCAUGAACUUCCUUCACUGUAGAGUCUCUCUCUGAUCUGGGCUUGAAUGUAAAAUGUUCUUCUUGUCCAUUUAUGCUGAACUUGAUUUCUCCCUUUCCAACAUCAAUGUGGGCAUUGGCGGUGCUCAUAAAUGGCCUUCCAAGGAUGAUGGACACUUUUGAGUCGGGACUCUUGUCCAGUACCACAAAGUCUACUGGAUCAAGAAAAUCUCUUAUCUUGACUGGGAUGUUUUCAGCGAUGCCCAUCGGGUGUCGAACUGAUUGAUCUGCUAGCUGUAGGCACAUUGAUGUUGGUUCUAGGGUUGUAUGUUCGAGCUUCUUGUAGACUAAUGCUGGAAUCACACUGACACUUGAUCCGAGAUCACAAAGUGCAUUGUUCAAGUGUUGGUUUCCGAUCGAGCAAUCAAUGGUGGGACAUCCUGGAUCUUUCUUCUUCUUCGGUGGUUUGUUGAGGAUGACCGCACUACAUUCUUCUGUCAGCUUGAUUACCUCAGUGGUGGGCAGUGGUCUCUUCUUGUUAAGAAUAUCUCUAAUGUACUUUGCAUAUAUGGGUACCUGUAUGGCAUCAAGUAGAGGUAUGUUGACAUAUAAUUUUUGAAUGACCUCUACAAACUUACCGAACUGCUCAUCCGACCGCAGACCUCUGUUUCUUCUGGGAAAUGGCAAAUAGUUGGUGUCGUGAAAAUCUUUCCUCAUUUCUCCAGUACUAGGUGGUUGUAGCAGCUCUUCUGCGUCAGCAGGGCUCUCAUCUUCUAUCACUACUGGUUGCACUGGUGCUGGUGUUCUUUGCUUCUCUCUUGGAUGUGGGGGAUCCUUGGUAGCUUUCCCCCCUCUAGUAGUUAUGUUCUUUACCUUUGCUAUUGGGUUGACUUGAAGUGGGUUGAUAUUUGUAUGUUGUCUCAAUGGCCCUUUGAUCUUCUUUGAACUUGGCCCUCUGGUCAAUCCAAUGGAGCAAAUUCUCCAUCUUGGUUGAUAGUGCAUUUACUUCUUUGGGUAUUUCUUCAGUUUGAUGACAUUGUUGAGCUUUGUCUUGGAACCAGCUUUGGUUUUCUGCUAUCUUAUCCAAAAGUGUUUCUACUUUUCCAAUUGUAAGCCCCAAAAAUGAUCCUUUAGCAGAUGCAUCUAGGCACUCACAUGCCUUUCGGGUUAAUCCAUGAUAAAAGGUCUGCAUAAGUAACCAUCUGGCAUUUCUAUGGUGAGGACAAUCUGAUAUGUAUCCUUGAAAAUGCUCCCAUGCUUCUGGAAUGGUUUCUGUCUUCUGCUGUUGGAAACUAACAAUAUUUCCUCUUAAGGCAGCUAUUUUGCCUAUAGGGAAAAAACUUUGCUAGAAAGGCAUCUGACAAGUUCGUCCAAGUGUUGAUGUUUUCUUGAUUGGUGUAGAACCACUUCCUUGCUCUUCCUUCUAGUGAGAGUGGAAAGAGGCGAAGCAGUAUGACUUCUUUGUCAACUCCGUUGACGCUGAUUGUGCUUCCAAUCUCUAAGAAAUUUUGCAAGUGUGUACUAGCAUCUUCAUGUGCCUUUCCACUAAAUUGCGUAGCUUUCACCAAAUUGAUGAGGCUUGACUUGAGCUUGAACUCGGGUGCUCCUUCUUCUACUUCAAAUCUUGGACCAGUUGGAAUAUUCUCAAGGCUUGGAGCAGAGAAUUCUUGUAGGGUCUUCUGUGCCAUAGCUUCAACAAUUGGUGGCUAGCUUCUUCUUUCUUGAUUGCUUUGGUUCUGAUGAUGAAGAGUUGAAUGUACCAAAGUCAAUCCUGAUAUAACCUGUAUAAAAAUAUAAACAUAGAAAAACAACAGGGUGAACCUGCCAAAGUAGAGGUGCCUUGUUAUGAAUUCUCAUUUUUACAGUAGCUGUUCAUGCAAUUAUUUCUCCAUAGUCUAGUCUAAUAUUUUAUGUGCGUAUCCUUGACCGACUUCCUGACUUUCCUUACCAUUCCCUGGCAACGGCGCCAGAAAUUGUUGUUGACACUUGCUAACACCACUUGAAUGCUAGGUUGUCAUCCCCAGCAUGGCGCUAGAGUGUACUAAGGUAUUUAUGAAUAUGAAGGCUCUCUAGAAAAUAAUCUAUUCUGUCCGCAAGCGCAUAGAUAAAAUACCUCAUUGUAGCAUUUCACCACGAAAGUAUUCUGGGUAUCGUUAUUUAUAUUUUGCUUAAGAGAACAGCGAAAGUGAAAACAGGGGUAAAAUCUAUCAAGGCAUAGACUAGAGCUAAACUUGCAAGAAUAUGAUUACUAAUGAGAAACUCGUCACACAGUCACUUGCUUUGGCAGGGGGUAAGCCAUAAUAAUAAAGAUAAUGAAAUAUAGCUCAUGGGUAAAUAACACAGGGAUUAGAAAUAGACUACUCCAUAUAAAUGUAAGGUGACGUCGAAUUAGCUAGAGAAUGGAUUCUAAGUAUCUACUAUCUACCAAGUCACAAUCUACUCUAGGCAUCUACAAGAUCAUAUAUAGCACAAGAGACUCUUCAUUCAUGUAUAAGGAACAUUGCUAAAGUAAAUCAAAACAUAGGAAGACUUACUCUGCAAUACAAAUUUUGUCUGUCCUACUAACGGAGGGUGGACUAUCACUACUAGAAAUGUGUUAAUCAAUGACGAAUCACUAAUGACGCUAACUAUUUUCGUCACAGAACUAGUUCAUUCGAUGACGAAAUUAGUAGCUUCGUCAUGUUUGAUAAGUGACAGAGCUUUGGCACGAAGAACAGUGACGAAAAUAGAAUCAACGUCACUGAACAACGAAACUAAAUCGUCAUAGAUGGUCUGGCCAGUGUACCGGAGGGGUUGGGGUCCCACUAGUGGGUCCGAUGUUCAUGACAUGGCACCAUGGUCCCACCUAUGGCACUACGGUCCCACCAGCAGGUCUCACCGUAGUGACGUGGCACUAUGGUCCUACCGGCGGGUCCCACGUCCUGAGGUGGGGCAUGGUCCCACUAGCGGGUCAAACAGGUAUGACGUGGCGCCAUGGUGGAACCUGUGGAUCCAACGUCUUUGACGUGGCACUGUGGUCCCACAAGUGGGUCCCGCCGGAGGGUCCCACCGUCAUGACACCGCGCCCUUGUCCCACCGAUGGGUCCAGCAGUCCUGGCAUUGUGGUCGCACUGGUGGGCCCGUUGACAUUUGAAAGACCAAGUUUGGUUUUGGUAAUUAAUGACACCAAGUUGCUAUGCCUUGUGUUUAAGUGAUUUGAGUUAGGCAUAGCAACACAUGUGAUGAAGGUGCAUGGUGGCAUGGAGAGGUGGCCACAUGAUCACAAAGGGAUGAAGCAUGAAGUGGAGAUCAUGGUGAUAGACAAGGAGCAAAGUUAUCAAGGCAAAGGUAUAAACAUAGGGUUUUACUUUUGCCGGUCUAAGAUGAGUAGAGAAGUGAUUGACCGGGUUUAGGAUAGAUAGCCGACUAUCAAGAGGGGUAAUCACGGUCAUCUCUCGAAUCAAGUGCUACUAGGUCCAUAUCUUGAGCAUAUGCAUUAGGAUCUAGUAAAGUGCUAACUGAACUCCUUUGGAUAAAAAUGUUUUUGAAAAGCUAACACACAUGCACUUUGGUGGUGGACACUUGUUGGUGUAAGCACAUUUGCAAAGGAGGUGGUUUUCCUAGGAUUCGGCUCUUUUGAGAAAAUUAAGUGUAUAUUUUCUGUUGCGCCGGUGGGAAAUUUGGAGAAGUCACGGGAGUGUUUUCUCACUGAGAAGCACUCACCGGACGCUGGCCUCAGAGUCCGGUGUGCUUGACCCUGCUAGGGUUGAGCACCGGACGCUCUCUGAGUGCGCCCGGUGGUUAGCGUCCGGCGUGAAGGCGUUUUGCAACCCUCUCUGUACAUGGGUCCGGUGAGCACCAGACGCUACCGGUGCUUAGCGUCCGGUGACCCUGCAAGUUUGCAACCCUCUCUGCGCAUGGGUCCGGUGUGCACCGGACACGUCCGGUGUGUACCUACAGAGCGUCUGGUGGUGCGCAGGUGACCGUUAGAAUCUGACACGCGGGAUUCAAGUAGGACACGUGGCCUAUCCCUGAGCACCGGACGUUGGGGGUUGAGCGUCCGGUGAUCACUUGGUAGCGUCCGGUGCCCCCGUUUUCUGCCCAGUGAAAGUAGCCAACGGCUAGUUUCUUUGAGGGGCUUAUAAAUAGUUGGUGGCCGGCUUUGAGAGGUUUGCUCUUGCACUUUUGAUUACUUGAGACAUACAUUGAGCUAGAGAACACUCCCUCCACUCAUCUCCUUGCUUGAUUGCUAAUCCUAGUGAGAUUCAAGUGCAUUGCUUUGAGAGUUGCAUUUAGUGGCACUUGAUUCUUGAGUUUGCUGCGGAUUUCUUGUUACUCUUGGGUGUUUCCCGACGCCCUAGACGGCUUGUAGCAGCGGUGGUGUUGAGCUCGUGAUUGGAGAUUGUUUCGAGCCUCACCAAGUGAUUUGUGAGGGGUUCUUGAGCCUUCCCCGCGGGAGAUCGCAAUUGGCUACUCUAGUGGAUUGCUCGUGGCUUGGGAUCCCCAUCUUGUGAGUGGAUGUGCGACACCCGCUGAGGGUUUGGCUUUGGAUUGCCAAUUAGAUCGUGAUCCAUCAAGUGGGUGUAUCGCCACAACGAGGAGUAGCUUGCCGGGAAGCAAGUGAACCUCGGUAAAAAAUCUUGUGUCAUCUCUUGCCGAGGUCUCUCUUGUGAUUGUGCAUGUGAUUGAUUGGAUAUAUUUCUACUCUACAACAUUGGUAUAACAAUCACACCCCUCUCUUUUACCUUUGUGCAUACUUAGCUAGUUGUGUAGCGUGUUUAGCUUAGCUUUCUUGUUGAGGAGUGUAGCAAGCUUGAGGAGUGUAUCAAGCUUCUAGUUCUGCUUUCUUGUUGUAACUAGUGUUUAGCUUUCUUGCUAGACUUGUAUAGGUGGCUUGCAUAGCUUAGUUGUGCUAGUGCUAGAAUAGUUUCGCCUUUUGUUUUACUAAUCAACUUGUCUAGUUGAAGUUUGUAGAAAUUUUAAAUUGGCUAUUCACCCCCCUCUAGCCAUUUGGACCUUUCAACAUGGCGACCGGGUCCCACCGGCGUGGUCCUGCUAGCGGGCCCCAUGUCGCUAACGUGGCCAUGCAGGGGCCGAAGCUACUGCGAGCGCCCUCAGAUUUCCAUAGGAGCUUUGAUCCUGCGACUUGCUGUGCAGGGAGAGGCAAGUUACCACUAGACCACUCAGUCGGUUGUGUUGUUGUUUUUUUUUUGUUGUUUUAUUUGAUUAGUUAUUGAACCCACUAUUUCCAAAAAGAUUAAAAACCCUCCGCGAGGGGGUUUGAACCUUGAACCUACUGGUUCACAGGGUGGUGCCUUUACCACGAGAAUACUAAAGCUUUUGUGUUUGUAUGUUACAUGUUUGUUUAUUUGAACCGACAUUUUUUAAUAUUUGUCCAUCCAACUUAAUGGGCCGUAUACUCAUGAUUCCAUGUCCGUGACACACAGAACGCAGACGCGAGGUGCAGAGGAACCCUCGCGCGAGGGCGUUCGUGGCGGCUACGUAUGGUGCAGCCUUGCGUCCCCUGGUGAUCAACGUCGGGCGUCCCCAGGUGAUUGACGCGUCUCCAGGUGCUCGUCAAUCGACACCGUGCAUCCGAGCUAGCUGAUCGGCGGCGACGCUUCCCAGGUGAUCGACGUGUGUCCCCAGGUGAUCCUCUUGCUCUUCUUCUUUAUUUUUUUCUUCUUUUUCCUUUGUCCUCCUUUUUGUUAUUAUUAUUAUUAUUAUUCAGAUUUAGCAGCAUUAAUUUCAUGAGUGCGUGAUUUGACCUGAGUUUAGUACUAUUUGGCAAAUGUAUGUACUGUUUUUUUGGACUUUGUACGUUCUAAAUAAGCUGUUCUAAUCUGCAUAAUCAUUAAAAUUAAUUGACUAAAUAGUGAAUACAUAUCUAUCUAAUCGAGUAAAAGUAAAUAGUGAACAUAUAUCUAUGUAAUCAUUAAAAUUAAUUUACUAAAUAGUGAAUCUUUCCUUCUUUGUAUGACAUCUUAAAGUGAAUGUGGAUGUAGCUGAUAUUAGAAUUUAUUAGCUUUUCAAAUUUGAUGAUAGUAAUUGUUAGAAAAAAGAACAGUAUACAUACCGAGUAGAAGCUUUCAUUUAUUUAUCAUUUUUUACAUGUAUGCAUGUCUUUGAUGUGCGUUUGAAUAUUUUUUAAUUUAUUAAUGUAAUUUAUGGACUGCGUACAACAUUUAUUCUAUUAUCAGAACACAUGGAUAGAAGCUAGAUUUUUGGGGCACCAUUCACAUCUACAUAUGUGAAAGCACUACAAGAAAUCAGUCAUCUUAUGACUUUUUUCCCAUGACAUUGGACAAAAUAGUCAUAACUUUGACCAAUUUAUGACUUUUUUUGUGGAGACAGCUAGACUUAGUGACUUUGGUUAAUUUUUGUCAUAAAAAAUGUCUUAGUGCUAGUAGAAUAACAUUUUGUGACUUUAUUUCUCAUGUCAUAACAAUCAAUUUGCUAUUGUCAUAUAGAAAAUGGUAUAUUGUGACAAAUAUGAUAAGUCAUAAAAUAUUAUAUUGAAUUUUUUUAUGCAUUACAAUCCGAGGUGGCAAUAUGGGUCCACUUGGCAAACUACCACCUAAUCUUUUUUUAAGAAAAACUGCCACCUAAUCAAGUGGGUGCCAUGGUUCAUCUAGUUGUUUUUCUGUUUGUUUUUCCUAUAUGUAUUAAGCCCAGUUUUUUUAGAAGAACUUCAGCCUAGCUGUACGCUGGCCCAAUUUAGAACCAGCCCGUCCAAUUCGAAAUAAGUCAGAAAAAGAAAAAAAUGGUGCAGUGUGAGGGUUCGAACCUAGGACGCCAGCGGUUUGAGUUGUGUCCUUGCCAACUGAGCUACAAUGUUGUUUUGGUUUAAUGUGGUAGUUUUUACUAAUUUAUUCUUAUAUUUGUAUAAUUUCCAAGGAACAAAAUCGCCAAUGGUGGAAUAGAACAUGUCUGAGUGGUGCCCAAGGUCAGCAGUUGCGCCACUCUUUAAAAUCAUUCUGGUUCUUAAAUUUAAAUUUCAGUUCAAACUUGUCCUUUUUCAAAAUUUCAAAUUUCAAAUAUUUGAAUUUUGUCAAAUGAAGAAAUGGUCAAAAUCAAAUUUGUAGAUCUUGAUGAGUUGAACAACUUUGGUAUUCAUCACUUUUUAUGUUGAAAUCAUUUUGUGUCUCAAAUUUUGGUUCAAACUUGUCAUUUUUGAAAAAUUUCAAACUUCAAACAUUCAAAUUUUGUCAAAUUAAGAAAUGGUCAACAACAAAUUUGUAGAUCUUGAUGAUUUGAGCAACUUUGGUUUUCAUCACUUUUUAUGUUGAAGUCAUUUUGGGUCUCUAAUUUUGGUUUAAACUCAUCAUUUUUAAAAAAUUUCAUAUUUCAAAGCCUCAAAUUUUGUCAAAUGACAAUAUGGCCUAAAUAAAAGUUGUAGAUUUUGAUGAGUUGAACAACUUUGGUAUUCAUCACGUUCUGUGUUGAAAUAAUUUUGAGCCUCAAAUUUUGGUUUGACCUCAUCGUUUUUGAAAGAUUUCAAAUUUCGAAGGUUCAUAUUUUGUCAAAUUAAGAAAUGGUCAACAUCAAAGUUGUAGAUCUUGAUUAGUUGAACAACUUUGGUAUUCAUCACUUUUUUAGUUGAAAUCAUUUUGGGUUUCAAAUUUUGGUUUGAAAUCGUCGUUUUUGAAAAAAUUCAAAUUUUAAAUGUUCAAAUUUUGUCAAAUGAAGAAAUGAUCAACAUUAAAGUUGUAGAUCCUGAUUUUAGAAAAUUUUAGAGAAAAAUAUCAUCACAUUUGGAGUUAGUAUGAGGGAGAAAAACUAGUUACAAAAUUUACCUGCAGAUUAAAAAGAAAAAUCACACUAUUCUAGAUGAUCAGUGCAUGAUCAUAGUGAAUAGUGUGAUUUAUCUUUUUAAUCUGCGGAUAAAAUUUGUAACUAGUUUUUCUCGCUCAUACUAACUCCAAAUGAGAUGAUUUUUUUUGUAAAAUUUUCUAAAAUCAUUCUCUAUCAAUUUAUUGAGUUGUUUUUGUCAAUCUUUACAUAUUCCAAUAUUGAGCAAUUCAAAAUUUGAAUUUUAAAAAAAAGAGACAACUUCGAACACGAUUUUGAUACCCCAAAUUAUCGAAUGAGGAAAAGUUAUGAAUACUAAAGUUGAAUAACUCGUCAAGAUCUACAACUUUUGUAUUGGUCAUUUCUUCAUAUGAUAAAGUGGUAAUAACAUUGUUCACAAAUGUGACACAUCACUUAUGUGGUUUAAUAAACUAUGAGACAUGUGUAAGAUUAGUGAACAAUGUAUACUAAGAUUUUGUCAAAUGAAGAAAUGGUCAAAAUAAAAGUUGUAGAUCUUGAUGAGUUGAGCAACUUUGGUAUUCAUCACUUUUCAUGUUGAAGUCAUUUUGCAUCUCAAAUUUUGGUUCGAACUCGUUGUUUUUGAUAAAUUUCAAAUUUCAAAGGUUUAAAUUUUGUCAAAUGACAAUAUGGCCUAAAUAAAAGUUGUAGAUAUUGAUGAGUUGAAAAACUUUGGUAUUCAUGACUUUUUAUAUUAAAAUCAUUUUGGGUCUCAAAUUUUUGUUCGAACUCGUUGUUUUUGAAAAAAUUUAAAUUUGAAAGGUUCAAAUUUUCUCAAAUGAAGAAAUGGUCAACAUCAAAGUUGUAGAUCAUGAUGAGUUGAACAACUUUGGUAUUUAUCACUUUUUAUGUUAAAACCAUAAAAUUAGCCUAAAACCAAAUUUGUUCAUGAAUUAAAAUUAAAAAGCAUCACUAUUUUGCGCAAAUAAGAAAUAUGCGCUGCCCAUCUUAAAUGGGCCGCUUGGGCCAAAAUCAUCCUUCAUGGGCUGAACUGAUCGGCCCAAUCAACCGUAGCCAUCCAUCACGAUGGACGGCUCAGAUUCGCCCAAAGAACAUAUAAAUAGAAAGGGUAAACCCUAACCCCAUCCAUUUUCCUUUCCCUUUUUCUCUCUCUUCCUUAUCCUCUUCUUCUUCAGGAAACCAGAAAAAGGAGAAGAUGUACCACCAGGGAGGUGGCCAUGGGGAGAGCACGGGAACUGCUUGCAUCCGGCCCAGGGCACAGGGGCGGCGACGCCCGCGGCCUAGCGCGCGGCCCGCCCGCGGCCGGCCUGGCUCGCGGCGGCGCCUGCGGCUUGGCGCGUGGUCUGCCCCCCCGGCGGCCUGGCUGUGCCAGGGUGGGUGCGUGUGGCAUCCGAGGCCGGCCUGGGGCGCGGGGCUCCUCCGGUGGCGCGGCGGGCCGGCCUGGGCGAGGCCUCGGCAAGCGGCGACGGCCUGGCCGGCCAAGGGUGUGGGCGGCGCGGCCCGGCCAGGGAGGAGCGCGCAGCCCCUGGCGGGCGCGUCCAGGCGGCGCGGCUCCCGGCGGUCCGGUCUGCCGGACGCGCGGGCGGCGCGGCCCCCGGCGGUGGCUAGGCCAUGCGCAGCAGCUGUCGCCGACGUUCUACGACGCGAGCUGCCCCAACCUGCAGAGCAUCGUGCGCUCCGGCAUGGCCGCCGCCGUGCAGCAGGAGCCCCGCAUGGGGGCCUCCAUCCUCCGCCUCUUCUUCCACGACUGCUUCGUCCAGGUAAAAAGCUUAGCUUUUUGCUUGCUAGUUGCUAUAGUAUUCAAUAAUUCGCACGGUUAAUUAGCUGCGGCAUUUCCUGUGGUCUAGAAGGUCCCUACUCACUUGCUCUUCUGAAUGUGCUAUGUAUUUCAGUUGACAGUUCAAAGUCCUGUGUUUGGGUUUUUCUGUAACCAUAAAUACAACUAUGUAGAAGAUUACCUCAGUGAUGGAGAUGCCAAUUAGGGUGAUCAUCAGAAUGAUGCAGCCUGCUUAAUUGAGGUGCACUGUUUGGUACUCUGUAGAGAUGGGUGAAUGGUUAGACUGAAAUAGGUAUAGCCUGAUGCACUCUGCUAAUGCUAGAUGUAACUAACUGAUUCAGUCUCAAACGAACCUAUCUGACUCUGCAGCAGACCUUUAGAAUUUGGUUUCAAGCAGACUAAAAAUUACAGAGAGUACCAAAGCUAUCUUUUAUUGUUCAUUUUUUGUCAAAUAGAGUAAAUAUGAGCAUUUUCUGCUUGUCAACAGUGGGCAAGAGGCGCACAUGCUUGCGUGCAGCACUGAGUUGUACUGAUUUUCACAUAUCCCUAAUGACAUCGCUCUUAUACAGUUUGGUUCGAACACACCUCUAGAUGAGAUCAGGGAGGUAUUUGCGAUACUGCCUCAUGGUUCUAUUUUAUUGAUUUGAUUAAUCAACUAUUUCCCAGUUGUCUGAAAUGGUAGCAGCCAUAAGUAGAGCACCUGUGGGAUACAAAUGGCCAUCAAGUGAGAAGGCAAGAACCACUCUUCUAGAUGCAGGCAAGAGAAACGUGGAGCAGGAGAACCACUCUUCUUUUCAUUUCAAGUAAAUAAUUGUUGAAGCUAAAAACUAUUUUGCUUUCAAUCUUUAAAAUUUUGGAUUAUGUUUUCCUAGGUCCAAAAACAUAUCUUUAUACUCUGAUAGUGUUUGGGAUGCCUAAAUGGUCCACAAGCUUGGGAUGUCUGGACAUCACCUGAAGCAAGAAGACAACAUUGGUCAAUCGAUAGUGGUAGCAAGAAUUGAGAAUUUAUGUUUUAUACCUAGCUAAAUGUUUUUGAUGUAUUUUUUUUGUUAAUUUUAGCUGUAUAAUACACAUUUUUUGAAAUCUAAAAUCUGCAUGGCAAAUGUUAUUAAAUUUAGCUGUAUAAUACACAUUCUUUGAAUGGUGAAUGUACAUGACAAGUUUCUAUAAUAUACUGAAAAUGAUAGAAUGAAUUGGAUUUUCUCUUAAUUAUCUUAUUGUACUUUAUUUUUGUGAUAAAAUACCACCACAGUUUAGUAGUUUUCAUGUGCUGAAAUGAAGCCGUAGCGUUAGCACGGGCACUAUACUAGUUUUGCUAGGUAGCAAGUCAUUGUCCUGUAUAGACGAUCUGCUCAUAUGAGUUUUUGCUUUUAUGCCUAAGUGCAAUAAGUCUUUACAAUAUCAUCCAUUGGCCUGUCAUAUGAGGUGAUUUCUUUAACUUCUCUUGGAUUUUUCUUUAAACAUGUUAUUAUUAAAGUAGUAAUUUGUUUUUACAUAAUUCUAUUAAAAAUACCUGCAUGUUUUGAAGCACUGAUGUGUGUGACUUUAUUUGUAGAAACACUCAGAUAGCCUGUUCAAGUACUUUAUUUGUAGAAACACUCAUAUUUUACACCAGAUUUUAGUCCUCAAGUUGUCUUUAAGACAUCAGCAAGGUAGUGAAAACUAUGUGAUGAACAAUGCAUUUUUUUAUUGACAUUGACACUCCAGUAUUUGCUUUUGUUUUCCAGGUUGCAAUGGCUGUCAGAGAGUAGCACACAAAGGCAAAAGAAAGAGUUGUGACAGGAACUGAUUAUGCAGCAAUCUACAAGAAAGAGUUGUGACAGAACUGAUUAUGCAGCAACCUACACUUGAUGCGUUUGAUUAAAUGCAUGUUUUUUUUACAAUUUAGUUCUGAUGUGCUUGUAGCCGAGUGAUGUAACUAGGACGACCUGCACAUCAUGCUCUAUAGUGAUAUUCUAUGAACUUAUUAUAUUUAUAUUUGUGGCAAUGUUGUGGGUAUGUAACUUUAAUAAUUGUAUUAAUUAAUUAUCUCGAUGGUAAUGAGAUACAGCAUGUAGGCUGACUAUAUUGAUUGUAUGUGCAUGGGCUUAAAAAAGUGAUGUGGGCUGGACUGAAAAAAAAUCCUUCCUAAAAAAAUUUCAUGGGCCAAAAUUUAUACAAUUGUAAAUAGGCCAAUAAAGCGCUAAAACAUGUAACGUGCCUAGCCCAAAUAAUAGGAAGGACCCAUUAUAAGCCUGUGUGUUAUGUGGGCUUAAACUUGCCAAAUUGUGCUUUAGGUCCAAGAAAUCUAUGACUUUAAAUCAGUUGUCAUAAGUGUUUGUGACUUUCUAAAUCAAAGUCAUAAUGCUAUGACUUUACCCCCUAAAAGUCAUAAGUGGUCAUUAAAGACAGCCAUCUUUUGACAUUUCAUUUUUUGUCAACUUGGAGUCACAAAUGAUAACUUAUGACUUAUUUUCAAGGUAUUAUGACUAAUGUCAAAUGUCAAAAGAUGACUGAUUUCUUGUAGUGAAGGAGUUGAAGAGUUCAUGAAAUUUGUGAGCGAAAGAUAUCACAAAGACAGCCAGAUACUUUGCCCAUGUACGCGAUGUCUUAAUCAAAAAUUGUGGUCUCAGCCUGAUGUAAGCGACCAUCUACACAUUUAUAGAAUGUCACCUACAUAUACCAGGUGGAUUGGCAUGGGGAGUCGGCAGAUGUUGAAGUCGUUGAAAAUUUGGACCACCAGGAGGUCGAAGGAAGGGAUCAUGACUUUGGGAUACAUGUGGAUAUGGCCGAUGAUGACUAUGAUGAGGAUCACGGAGUACCAGAGAUGAUAGGAGAGAUGUAUGCUGCGGCAGAGGCUCAGGGAGAACAACCAAGGUUUACAAGAGUCCUUGAAGAUGCGAAGAAGUCUCUUAGCCCAGGAUCUAGGCAUUCUAAAUUCUCUUUUCUGUUGAGGAUGUUGUAUAUCAAGUCUCGUUAUCCAAUUAGCAAUGGAGCAUUUUUCGUAAUUAUGAAGCUGUUGUCAGAAGGUUACCCUAACAGUGAUUUGCCAAAAUCAUAUGAUGAGGCAAAGAAAUAUCUUAAAGAGUUGGGCCUUGGAUUUCAAAGCAUUGAUGUGUGCGAGAAUAAUUGUGUGUUGUUUCGGAAGGAGUAUAAAAAGGAUGAUGUGUGCCCAGUAUGCAAGGCGUCUAGAUGGAAAGAUGGAACUGGGGCCAAGCGUAUUCCACACUAGGUAUUGAGGUAUUUUCCACUUGUGCCAAGGUUGAAAAGAGUUUUUGCUUUGAAGCGAACUUCUAAAGAAACACAAUGGCACAAGAAUAUGAGGAAGCCAGUCGAUAAUGUAAUGAGCCAUCCAGCUGAUGGGGAAGCAUGGAAGCACUUUGACAGGAGGGAAGCCACAUUUGCAGCUGAUUCGAGGAACCUCAGACUUGCCUUAGCUACUGAUGGAUUCAAUCCAUUUGGCUACAUGAGUACGCAGUACAGUAUGUGGCCAGUGCUUGUGACUCCACUCAAUCUCCCACCAUGGGAAUGCGUGAAUCCAGUAAACUGCUUUAUGUGUUUACUCAUCCUCGGUCCAAAAUCCCUAGGAAAGGAUUUUGAUUUGUUCCUUGAGCCCCUUAUUGUGGACUUGCUUGAGCUAUGGAAGGGCGUCAGUACCUUUGAUGCAUGUAUUGGUCGGAAGUUUCACCUUCGUGCUGCCGUGCUGUGGUGUAUACAUGAUUUUCCAGCGUUGAGCACGUUAUCAGGGCGAACAACAAAGGGGUAUUAUGCAUGAAUUCAUUGUGACAAGGAUCCAUUGUUUCGGGCUAUUAGGAAUAAGCUAUGUUACAUUGGACAUCGUCGUUACCUUCCAAUGAAACAUGAAUGGAGGAGAAGCUUGGCUUUCGAUGGUAAGCCUAAAAAGAAAGAUCAACCAGACAAGUUCACUUUGGAGGAAGUCAUAGAGGAGCUAGAGAAGGUGAAAGACGUCAGGCCAGGGAAGCAUUCUGAAAUAAUUGGAAAAAAGGAAGCACAAUGAGGGUCCAAAGAUCUAUAGCCGCAAAGUUGGGUUGUGGAGGUUGCCAUACUGGAAACAUUUGUUACUGCCACAUAAUCUCGAUGUGAUGCACAUAGAGAAAAACAUUUGUGAAAAUAUUCUUGGGACAUUACUCAAUGUACCGGGCAAGAGCAAGGACACAACAAAUGCUAGGUUGGAUUUGCAUGAUAUGAAGAUAAGACCAGAAUUGCACUUACAGCAGCGUGGCAACUCAGUUGUUGCUCCACCUGCUCCAUAUGUCUUGGGGAAGGAACAAAAAAAGGAGUUCUACAAGUUUCUCAGAGGUAUCAAGUUUCCUGAUGGAUACGCAGCUAACCCAGCAAGAUACAUAAGUGAAGAUGGUUGAAAGGUUACUGGAAAGCUGAAAACACAUUCUUACCACAUACUGCUGCAAAGAAUCAUACCUGCUGGGCUAAGAGGCCUGGUGAGGAAGGAUGUAUACCAAGCAAUUGCAGAGCUCGGGAACUUCUUCAGGGAACUAUGCAGCAGAAAUUUAAGGAUUGAUGUUGUCAAACGGCUGAAACAAGACAUCCCAUUGAUCCUAUGCAAGCUUGAUAAAAUCAUUCCACCUGCCUUCUUUGAUGUCAUGGUGCACUUGGUUGUCCAUCUUCCUAAUGAGGCAUUGCUUAGGGGACCUAUUCAGUACGGAUGGAUGUACCCAAUAGAAAGGCGGCUAGGCACUUUGAAAAAUUUUGUGAGCAACAUGGGUAAGCCAGAAGGAUCAAUUGCUAAUGCAUAUAUGGCUAGUGACACCUUGACUUUUUGUUCAAGGUAUAUGGAGGAUAUAGACACUAGAUUUAACCAUGAUGAUGAUAGUGAUGGAGAGAGGCCAUUGCCUAAUGACAUAUCUAUUUUUAAGCAUGGUGUUGCUCUUGUUGGAUCUGAUAGGAGGCAGUACAAUGAUGAUGCCAUCCUGAAUAAGUUAGUUUGGUAUGUGCUAAAUAACUGUGAUGAACUUGACGAAUAUAAGGAGUAAGUAUCCUUUAGAUGUUUGUUUUUAUUUUAAAUAAUUUUAAAUUAUUCUUAUGACUACUUCAACUUUGACCUGCAGCUUGUUUUAAAUUAUUCUUAUGGGAUGGUCUACUGCAGCAAGGUGCACGACAACAUGAAGUUGAUAGAAUGGUUGAAGAAGGCUUUCCAAAGUGGUUUGAGCACCAUGUAAGUCACUACACAUUGUGUUUGUAGGUUCAUUAAUUAUUAAGUGCAUUAGUACCCAUAUGUAUUAAGUGAACUGAAUACUUAUGUUAUAACAGAUCGCGAACAAACGCAAGGAGAAUCCAGGUUCGGUUAGCGAAGGACUAUGGGCACUGUCAUGUGGCCCAGAUCUGCGAGUUAGGACAUGUGCAGCGUGCAAGGUUAAUGGAGUGCAGUAUAGCACUGUGGAUCAUGAGCGGUUCCUACACACGCAAAAUAGCGGUGUAAUGACUAACGGUUCACGUGAUGGGAAUGACAUAGAUUUUUAUGGAGUCCUAAAAGAGGUAAUUGAGUUGGAAUAUAACUCAAAUUUUCAAUUCCGUCGGACGGUGGUUCUAUUUCGAUGCGAUUGGUUCAAUCUACAUGGGAAGACAAUAGGCCUCCGAGACGAUGGAUAUUUCAAAUCCAUCAAUGUGAUGUCAUUAUGGUACAAGACUGAUCCUUUCAUCUUAGCAACUCAAUCGAAAAAGAUAUUUUACCUGCAAGACACAGCUUUAGGUAAAGACUGGCGAGUUGUGCUGAAAUUUCAACAUAGGAAUAUUUUUGAUGUGUCUGAAAAAGAUGAUGAGGCCAGUCAUGAGGUGCAUCAAGAUGAUUAUUGUUCUGAUAAUGAACAUGUAGUGCAAGAAGGUGCUGAUGAUGAGGUUAGGCAGAAUAAUCAAGGUGGCGAAGCCAGUAUACUUGAUGGAAAUUUAGAACUUAUAAGAAGCAAAAAACAACCUAUUAUUCAUGAUGAUACUGAGGAUGAGGAGGAAGAUGAGACAGUGGAGCAGUAUUGUAGUGAUGCUGGCAAUGAUCAAAUUGAUGACAUGUCCCUAGACGAUGAAGAUGAAGAAUUCUAGUAUGUACAUAGGGUGCACUAGAUGUGUGUGAUGACAUUCAUCUUUGCUCGAUCAUUAUGCUAUUGGGUCAGUUCUCAUUAUUAUUACUUUUCAGUUGUUUUUAAUGUCAUGUGUCACCAGUUCUGUUGUAUAAGUCAUCGAAGAUGGAGCAGCCACGGUCGCUGGUAGCUUCGAUCCGUCCUGCUUAGUUUCCAUUUAAGUAGUAAAACACUUGAGACAUACCUAACAAACUUCAGUAGUGCAGUGGUAAGCCAUAGCAACCUUGUCCCUCAGCUCCUAGGUUCGAAACCGCUGGAAACUUGUUUUUUAAUGUUUUCGCAACUUUUGUUUUAUUUUUUGUGUAUGAUAUAAUUAUAAAGCUACAAUGCCUUAAUAAUUACUAGAUAUUAUUUAACUUAGUUUAGUACUAUAUUACUGCUUGAUAAUUAGCCUCGUUCAUCAGCAUACAUCUUUUAACUUUUUUAGCUAUUAUUAUACUUAUGGGAGUUCUGUUGUAUAAGCCAUUGAAGAUGGAGCAGCCACGGUCGCUGGUAGCUUCGAUCCAUCCUGCUUAGGCUCCAUUUAAGUAGUAAAACACUUGAGACAUCCCAGACAGACUUCAGUAGCGCAGUGGUAGCAACAGCAACCUUGUCCCUCAGCUCCUAGGUUCGAUUUUCUGGACAAGGCAAUCCCUGUCCACCUGCUGGUUUUCAGAUUCCUAAGCCUUAGAUGGUUUUCAGAAAAGCUCAAUGGAAAAAGAUUUUUGCUGAAUUAUUUACACAACAAGAUGUAGCAAGAAUGUUAGACUGAAUGUUUAUCAAUGGAUUGAUUAUAAUGUCUGAGUUGCUAUCUGGAUGCCAAUCUAAAUAGAAGGUUAUCAUUAUAAAAUCAAGGAAUUGUUAACAAAAAUUAGAUGGAAAGGAGAAACACCUGCUUAUCAAACCACCUCUGCUUUUCCAUUUUUUUAUGUGAUUUUAAAUUUCAAUAUUCUGAGAAGAUGUAAAAGUUACUUGCAACUUGCGAAGCCUGAAAACAGUUUAAAUGUUCAAGGUUUGGUUUCAUUGUAAAGAAAUUUUAUUUAUGAACUUGGGUCAAUAGUUCACCCUAAAUUGGAACUAUGUAUGGCGGGCGCUAUCAAAUAAUGUACUCCUUGCUGAUCAAAGAUCUAAUAUUACUAAUAAUUUGAACCAAACAAAAAUGCUAAACAAAGUUGUUUGAUAUAUCUCUGCAACUUAGCUCUGAACUAUGAAGUUCAUAUCUAAAAAUAAAUUUUAGCAAGUAACCUUUGAGCUCCUUGAUCUACCAGUUCAAAGACUAAUUCAUAUAUUUGCUUUAACAAGUAAGGUAAAGAUACAGAUCAGGAAUAGAGCAGUUUUGCUUAAGGUUGUACGGACCACAUGCAUAUAGGAUUGGAAGAAAUUUUAUAUGGCAGAGUUAAAGUUUGACCGACAAACUACAACUAUGAACCCUAUACUUGGGACUCUAAACACAAAUUUGACAUUCAGUUUUGGAAGCUAAGUCUGAAAGCAGUUUUAGGAAUAACAUUUCUGGAAAUUUUGUUUCUUGCUUUCCAGCAGAGGUAGUAUCUAAUUUUCACUUCACAUGGGUUAGUCUCACAUAACGUACAGAUUUGCAAAGCUGCUUUUUUUCUUGCUUGCUAUGGCAAAAUAUAUAAGUACCUUCUGAAAAUAGUUAUGAGAUUACAUCAGUGUACUUAAGCAAUAUGAAGCAUUACUUCACCUUACUGGCACAGAACCAGAAGAGGAUGGACUUAGAUAUUUCUGGCUUGAGUUAAGCAUUUAAAAUCGAAUUGUUUUUUGUCAUUGCUUUCUUAGUCAAGUCAGCAUUAGAUAUAUACAUUUCUAAGUUGAUUAUCAAUCACCUAGUUGUUGCAUAAGUGUUACCAAAUAAUCUGUGGGUGCUUGUUUUUCAAAAUGCUGUUCACAGACCUGUUAGUGUCUAUGCAGAUUCCACAAUGGCUGGUAAUUGCAUUGCUAAUGGCUGCUAAUGGCUUGCAGUGUGCACCAUUGGUCUGUUUUCUCUAAUUUUGGAGUUUUGAUUGUUUUUAGCACCAGGUCACUUAGACAGUGUCUAAUUAUGGAGUUUGAUGGUUUUCAGCUCUCUGUUAGUGUCUAAUCUUGUUAAACUGUCUUUUCGAUAUGUAUUAACUUACUACUACUACCACACUACUGCUAUGCAGUGGAUGUUCCUAAUACUAGGACUACUUUAACUACUAUUUCCCCUCUCUUAUCUCUUCUCCUCCCUAGUCUACUUCUGCUGCAACUAUCUAUGGCCACCAACUCUUCCCUCUCUACUCUUGUACUGCUCUCCUCUUUACUCUUCAACUACUCUACUCUCUCUUAUCAUCUCUACUUUAUACUCAUCUCUACUAUUAGUACUAGUACUUCAAAGUAAUGUACAGAAUCACUAUUUUCUCCUCUCUUCUCUCUUCUCCUCCCUACUCUGCUUGUGCUAGUACUCUCUAUGGUAGCCAAAUCUCCCUCUGUACUUGUUGACACUGUUUUUGGACACGUAUCUUUGGAUACGCACCUGGAGUUAAUGAAGUGUACAUCGGCAGGUGUGGAAGUCUACAGGGGAGUUGCCGAUGAAGGUUGGUGCCGAUGAGAAAACGACAUGGUAUGGCCAAGUACAAGAGUGGUGAAGCGUUCGUGCCGAUGACUAGUGCUGAUGGUUGCCGAUGGCUGUGAGAGGCGGUCUGCCGAUGCUUAUGGAGAAAAGAGCAGGGGAUGCCGAUUGACUUGUUGCAGUGUACCGAUCGGUUGCGGAGGAUAAUUUAAUGUUUUCCUUAGUUAUUAGAAUUCGUUUUGUAUACGGAUUCCAUUUAAUUUGGAAUUCGAGUUCUAGUCGUGUCUGGUUGUAGUUCUUUUGAACAGGGUAUAAACAUAGACCCCGUGGUAAUGUAAUGAGAUAUCUAUCAAUCAAUCAAACACAAGUUUUUACACAUAUUCUAGCAUCUACUUUUCGACGACUUCGUCAUAUUUUCCUUUUACUACGAGUUCUUAGGAAUUCAUCGAGUCAAACUCGGCGUGUUCUCAAGUUCCGCGUGAGCACCUCUUGGCCGUGACAUCUGGGCGCAUCGCUGUUGUCAGGACCAAAGUGUUCGAGUUACCACCUUUAUCGAUUGUAAGGUCAAAUCGGCUGGCACGCCUUAACGUUUAAAUCGGGUAUUAGACCUUUGUGUUUGCAGAUCAGCUUUUGCAUCAACACAUCUUUUGGCACGCCCAGUGGGACCAAGAUUCAAGAUCAAGAUCAACAUGUCGAGCACCGAUUUUGACUUGGAGAACGUCAUCCCCGUGACGAAAGCCAAUCUCAGAGAUGAGCAGAAGCAAGCUAUGGCAAAAUCCAUGGAGGAUUACAAGCAGCUAUGCUUGAAAUCCUUCAGUGUCAACAGGAGUGGCGAGGUGAUCCAAAAGGAGGCAUUGCCGGCACCUCGGCAAAUAACUUUUGAAGCCAAUCCUGGUAAAUUGCAAGAGAUGGUUGAUAGUGUUGUCAACCAUGCUCUGAUCAAUCAAUCUGGUGUACUAUCCAAUACGGUUUUCAAUGCUGUGGCUAGAACUUUCAAAGAAGGACAAGUACCACCAUCUUACGUGGGUCCUGCCUAUCAUCAGCAAGGGUCAUCAGUGGUUACAGCUCCAUCGGCUACUACAGCCGUUGCAGGUGUAGAAGUUACUUCCCCUCCAAGCACGUUAGGGAUGACUAAUGCGCAGUCUACACCGAUGACAACUAAUCCAUCAACGUCGGACGGGCAAAUCAAACUUGCUACGUAUUUAUUGGCAACGGCAAUGUCAGGGUCUGUUCCUCCCAACUGGUGGGGUUAUGGUAUGCCCCCAGAAUUGAUGGCAAAAGGUCCUGGAACAUCUCAAAUGGCUGACGUGACAGGCAAGGCUCCUAUGGCAUCGACACCUCCAAAUUCGCCGAUGACUCAGAAUCCCCAGUAUUCUACAACUACUACUGCAAGACCUUUCACCGGGAAUUCUCAAGCGCCAAUGUUCCAGAUGCCUAACGCAUCGGCAGAUCCAAUGCCGAUGCAGCAGAGGUUUGUGACACAACUAGGGUAUGUCAAUUCAAUGAUGAUGCCCAACUAUCAAUCAUCGGCAGGACCUACGCCGAUGAAUGUUAAUAGUGGAUGGACAGGGCAGUUUGUUUUUCCACAGAUGCCUCAGCAGAAUCAUCAGGCUGUAGGGUUUCAACAGGGAGCAGUCCAACCCGGGUUUCAGAAUCAAGGGUUGAUCAACCAGCCGACGAAUUUUGGCCAGCAACUUGGUGGUCAGUAGGCGAUGGUUAAUCCAAUAUUCCAUGGAGAUCGUACACCGUAUCCUCCUGCAUAUGACUUAAUUCCACUUCCAAAUCGGUACAAGGUAUCGGAUUUCACCAACUUUUCUGGGCAGGAUGAUACAUCGACUAUGGAGCAUGUUAACAGGUUAAUCAUUCAGUGUGGAGAAGCUGCUAACAGAGAUGAGUUAAGGGUUCGCUUAUUCUCAUCAUCCUUGUCUGGAUCGUCUUUUACUUGGUUUAUUUCGCUACCUCCCAACUCAGUUAUUACUUGGGCCGAUCUAGAGAAACAAUUUCAUAAAUACUUCUUUUCUGGAGUUCAUGAGAAGAAGAUUACUGAUUUAGUCAGGCUGAAGCAACACAACGAUGAAUCGGCUGAAAGUUUUGUGCAAAGGUUGCGAGAGGUUAAGAAUAAGUGCUAUAGUCCGGUUUUGGACGAUCGGCAACUAGCCGAUUUGGCUUUCCAGGGGUUGUUGCCACAUAUGAGAGACAAAUAUGCUUCUCAAGAGUUCGAGAGUCUAAGUCAUUUGGUGCAGAGAAUUUCUGACCAAGAUAUUAAACCUUUUAAACCUAAGAGAGCAUGGAAUAAAAAGGUGUCAUUUGUCGAUGAAGUAGCAAGCUCAGAUUCUGAUGAAGAACCAGUUAUCGGCUUGGCAGAAUGGGUGAAGAAUAAGAAAUCGAUGUCUUGUCCUUUUGGGCAUAAGGAACCGGAGAAGUUUGCAUUUGAUAUCACCAAAGCCGAUAGGAUAUUUGACUUUUUACUUCAGGAAGGGCAAAUCAAGUUGUCACCCAAUCAUGUGAUUCCAUCGGCAGAAGAGUUAAAGAAGAUGAAAUAUUGCAAGUGGCAUAAUGCAACAUCUCACAGCACAAAUGAGUGCAAGGUUUUUAGACAACAGCUGCAAUCGGCUAUAGAAUCUGGGAGAAUUAAGUUUGAUAAUUCCAAAGCUCAGAAGCCGAUGAAAAUCGAUCAACAUCCUUUCCCUACAAAUAUGUUGGACGCUAAGGGAAAAACUAAGGUCUUGACAUCAGAGGCAGCUGAAAGAAGUGCAUCGGUUUGUCUUGCGUCGAUCAACAUCCUUUCCCCAGGUGUUUGUCUUGUGUUUUGGCACUUACAUUUCAUGAGCAUAAGCAUCAUUUGUUCAUAUAUGAUAGUAUGAAACAUACUUUGAUGUUGUGACAAGUGAAUGCUUGAUGAUCCUGCAUAAUAGAGCUUGUAGGUGUUGAUGGUGCUUCUUUCACAUGUAUCACCUCCAUAUCUACCUAGGUUGAUCACUGAAAAAGUUUCAUGAAGUUUGGAUUCAAAAGGUCAAAUGAAAGGAUAAGUUACAUGCUUGUUGGAAUGACCUUAUCAAGUGAACGGAACCUUAGGUUACUAACCUAACCUUGCAAUCUUGACCAAAUGACUCUAGAUGAACUCUACAACAAAAGUCAUGAAGGGUUCAUGUUGAACUUGUGCCAAGAAAAUGCUUUAUUUGCUCUAAAAUCCUAGUUUGAGCUUUAUCAAGUUGAUACUUUGACCAAAGUGAAAGUUUAACUUUGGUACAACUGUACAAGUUAUGAGGUUUGACCUUAAAUAAAAGUUGUAGUUUUGCUUCUGUAGAACAAACUUUAUUUAAUGGUCAAGAGCUAGUUUGGUGCCUAUCCUAGUCAAAUUAAGAUCACAAGAUUCAAUGCAGUGCUGUUUUGGAUCUCAGAAAAUUUGGCUAAGUCAUCUGUGAUUCAGUUUCGGGUAUCCUAGUUGGGAGCUUUGUAGGUUCCUAACCAAGCUGAAACAGUCUUUAAGCCUUUAACAAUAGUUGUAGAUCAGUUCAUUUUCUACAAACUUUAUUUAAGGCCUCAUAUCUGAAUCAUCUUCUAAGAAUGUCAAAUAAUGGUCACAAGUUUGAAUCUGCUAUAGUUUCCAGCACUUAGAAUUUCUAAGUCUAGGAUUGCAGUCCAUCGCGUUGGCAUUCCGCGUUCUCCAAAUUUUGUUAAACAACUUGAGUUGAUCCCUUAAUAAAAUUUAGAGUAUAUAUUGUGGACAAGAGUAUACAAAAAGAUAACACCAGUUUGACUUUGUUUGGGUCAUCAAUUUUUGAGUUUUGCUAAUCACUAUCAAUACGUUGACACUCGUGGCUUGGCAUCUAAUUAUCUCCUAAUCUGUUGCUCUAAUAGCUUCGCACCCUGAGUCAAUGUUGGAGAGUAUCAAGAGUAGAGUAAACUUCGUUUUGGGUCCAUGUCCAAAUUCGGUCUAGAUCUGUCCCAAAUCGGCUUCCCACGUCGGCCACACGGUCACCCGCCACGUGCUCGACGAAAUGCGUCAAAGAGCAACCCGUGUUCUGGACGUGUCCUCCAUGCAGUGACCGCGCCCCCACCAUUGCUGCACAUGUGCUAGUGCUCCAUCUCGCGUUGGGACAGCCAGAAGGGCUCUCCACUCCGUCACUCACUCGCCUCCACAUCCUCCUCCACUCCCUGCUCGCCAUCCUCGCCCUCACAGCAAGUUUUUGAGUAUGCUCCGCCAUGGCCAUGGCCAACGAGCAGAGCUCGAGCUCCUCCUGCUGCUGGCUGCAUCCGGCCAAGGCCAGGGCCGGGCGUGGCCAUGGCUAGCCUAGCCUAGGCCAGGCCGCCGGCCGCCUCCCUGCUGCCACCGGCAGCUCUCCAGCAGGAUCCGAUGCCGGCCAUGUCUUUGCCUCCUCUGUGUCCUCUGUUCCUUGAAGAGAGAAGAGAAGGGACCUGGGCUUAGAAUAAAAAACAACUCAGGGUUCCAGAUGCGAAGCCAAGACUCAUAUGAAUAGUGGUUGUGGGCUGUGGCGAGAUUCUUGAAAACUCUAGGGUUCCCGGUGCAAGAUCUGUUUUCCUUUUUGUUUUGUUUUAGCAGAUUUCUGGGUGAACUUUGUUAAUGCAUAGAAAUUCAUAGAAAAAUCGUAAAAUAGCAAAUGGGGAAUUUUUGGAAUCCUUGUGAAAUUCUCUAUGCAGUAGAUCUAUAAUAUACCAUGUUUAGAUUUCUGGGUGAACUUCUCCAGGUUCUUCAAUUCAUAAUCCUGAGUUCUUUAAUUACUUUUAUUUACAUUCAAGUUAUUUAUUGGAUUCCCGCUUGCAUCAAGUGCUCUAGUCUUUAUAACGCUAGAGUAGUAAUUAAUAGAUUAGACGUGGUGUUUAGUCUUGCAAUUACCUGGAAUUGCACCCAAUCCUUCGGAUUGUUGUGGUAGCCUUAGGGUAGUGACAGCCCUAACGGUCGACGUAUUCCACCUCGUUCGGAUCGGUGUUUGUAGGACCGUAGUCAGACCUUCCUAGCCCCCUUCUCAUCUCUUUCUGUGGUUAGUGCUUUGAUGUCCCGAUAUAGAUAAUCUUGAAGUAAUUCUUGAUUCUAAGAUCAACUAGAGAACUCUCAGGAAACUUCCUCUGUUCCCACCAAAAAUAUUCAUAUAGUUAUCCUUGGGCGAUCUUGAUUCUUAAUUAGUACACUCACAUUCUCUGUGGAAAAUCGAUACUCUGGAAUACUCCUGGGUGAAAGCUACAUCGGUAUCCGUGCGCUUGCGGAUUUUUCUGUUUGCGUUUAAAAUACCCAACAAGCUUUCUGGCGCCGUUGCCGGGGAACGGUAGCUGUGCUAGUUUCGAACCAAGUCGUCCGUGUAUCCUUUUUUCUUUUCCUUUUUUACCACACUCACCUUAUCAUUUUCACCAUACCACAUGGAUUUACUCUAAGCAUAAAUGAGCAUGGAAUAUAUUUCAUAGCCACUUCAUUUACUCCAUGCUCAUAUGCAACAUCUUCACAAUCCAUUGGUCUCUCCAACAUCACCACAUUCGAGAUCUCCAACCCCCUCUUCCUUUCUAUUCAUAAAACUUUACAAGGGCGGUUGUCGAUGCAUAUGUCUAUAUUAAAUAUUGCAGAUCUCGUUGAGUUGAUCUUGAUAUAGGUCAGCGUUGGAGGGGAAACCACUUCGCCGACAUAAAUCGAUGGUUUCCCAAGGACAAGCUUAGUGUCCUAAAAUAAGCACUGAUCAGAUCAUAACAUGAGCUUUUAAUUAUUUGCAAUAUUACCUUGUGUAUUGAGCAUAUAAGGAUAAUUGUAAAAAAAUUCCUUCGGGUAUUCUUGUCACUAACCUUUCCAGGAUUGGAGCAAGAAGAUCGGAUGAAUGACAAGCACAAGGUAUGUCCAACCAAUCAUCAUACAACAUUGAAUUAAAUUCAUCCAAACUUGAAUUUUGCAAAAUUCAAGCUUGGGGGAGUACUUUACAUAAAAACAUCCUUUGCCAUGUUGCUAUGUUGGUUGUCCCUACCUUUGAGACAUGCUCAAUUUGUUAAAUACUAAUCACACUACUUCAUAUCCACUUGAGUAGAUCUCUAUAAAUACUCUCAUGCUACCUUUAUUUGCUUUAGUAUAUGUCUAGGUUUGGAGUAGUUUCAUUUAUCUCUUAAUUAAGCUUGGUGCUUAGUUUAGGAAUGAUGAUCUUACUUCCAAGGAGUUUUAAAUUAAGCAUGGUGCUCAGGUUAAAAUGCCCUCCUGAAUCAAAUUAGACAUGGUGUCUAGGUUGAUUUUUGAGCCGAUAGUAUGCUAUAGUAGAUAUUGGAUAUUUUGUUGGACUAACCCCUACAGGAAAACUUUCACUAUCGACCUGGGAAGUCCUGGGAUAAACUCACAUUGGAGACAAAGAGAGAGACACAUGAAGUUUAACAAUUUGCACGAGGAAGGCAUAGCUCACAAGAGAUGAUCCAUGGAGGGUGCCACAAACACGAUGCACAACCGCAAAGAAAGGAAAGCUUCCACAAGGAGAUACUGUACCAUCACUCUUCAAGUAAGGUAACAUCUUAAGGUACUUGACUAUCACUUUUAUAAGCUUCUCCUUGGUUCUGGCGUUCACAUGAAUAAAAGAGACAAACAUGUAUGAUUUACAACUCUAAAAUAACCAACCCAAUUAAUUCAACAUGUUUAGUCCUUUAAUCUUUGUUUAUAGUACUACCUUCGUGAUCCCACACUCGUAAUCAUAUAAGCUAAAAUGUUGCACAUUCAAUCUCUGGAAGAUAUAAUCAAAACAUAAGUAUACAUAGAUUAUCUUUCCAUUAGGUUGAGCGAUGUGAUGUGAAAAAUGUUUUAAAUAUUACACUCAUGAUCUUAUUAUCCAUCAACUUGGUCUUGCUCAUUAUGCUUAAGGAUAGAGAAGAAUAAAUACACUUUUAGUUCUGUUGGUGUUUUCCACCAACAGGGCCCAUGCACUUGAUCUCUGCCUUGUCUCUAUGAGCAGGUACACUUUAAGCAAAACAUGGAAGAGUUUUACAACUCCCAGACUCCACCAAGUGAAGAACCUAGAUCUACGAGCUCAAACACACUGGAGAUACUGGACACUCAGGCAAUCACUGCCCUAAGAUGCUUAAGGACGUAACUUUUGGAGUAACCCUGUUGUGGAAGUAAUUACUGACCUUCUGCCAGUCAAGAGAGGCGACCCACGAUGCCCCGUCAUCCCGAUCUCCAUCGGCAUGGUGGACUUCCUAGAAGCAUUCUACGACUUUGGCUCCAGCGUUAACAUUAUGCUCAGGGUACUCUAUGAAAAAUUCUUUACACAUCCUUUCCUAGAAACAACCAUGUGUUUGCAGCUUGCAGAUCAGACACUAAGUUUCCCAAAGGGAAUAUUGAAGAACCUCUACGUCCGAGUUGGUACCUUGUACGCCCCAGCAGACUUCGUGGUGAUAGAGACUGGUACUGAUGAGAGGGCACCCAUCAUCUUAGGGAGGCCAUUCCUGAACACCUCGGGAGCUAUCAUCUACGCUAGUGCUGCCAUUAUCAGUUUCUACAUCAAAGGGAGGAAGGAGACGUUUUCCUUCACGAGCAAGACUACACAAAUCUCAGAGCAAUCCCGACAUGAACCAAGGAAGAGGACCAACAAGAGGAACAUGAACAAGCAAAUGUGGACCAAGUCAGCAAAGAUGGUCACUGCAGUUCAAGGAGGUCAAGAUCGUCGACUUAAGUCACCGUUCGUAACCAAAAAGGACGAUCCAAGUAUGCCAAGCAUCCAGUGCUCCAUUGAUGGAUACAACUUCCAGAAGAUGCUUUGCGAUACCGGGUCAGGCGUCAAUAUAAUGGCCGCCAGUCACCUAUCAGCUCCUAUUCGGAACCAUGCCCCUAAAACCGACAUACAUUCAGCUUCAGAUGGCAGAUCAGACAUUCCGAAAGGUUAUAGUCAUGGGAGAAGACGAAUUCAAUCCACUCGUCAUCAUUGGGAGACUGUUCCUCAGCACCGUUAAAGCAAUCUUCUACAUUGGAACUAGAGAAGUCCACAUGCACUUCCCCUCUGAGAAGGUACGCCGCUAUUUUACUGAACCUAACUACAGAGUUGAAGACUCUAAGCAGAUCAGGGCAAGAAGAAGACGACGCAACCGCAACCAGAGGAGGCAAAUCAUCAAGGACGGACGGGCAGACUAUGAAGGAGAAGUCGUAAGGUCUGAAGACAUACAGCUUGAACAGAACUGUCGUGAGGAGACCGUAGCACCAAGUUAGGUGUGGAGAGAGAAGAUAGUUAUACACGAAGAAGAAGCGUCGCCGGAACCACCGACUACGCCAUUCAACGAAUCCUAGGACGACUGAGAAAACGGAGAGUCCCGUUCGGAGGACUUAAAAACACCGAACGCCUUGCCAAGAGGUAAACUUAGUAGUUAUCUAUUUCCUUUCAAUUAUUUAAAAUAGUUUGCUUAGUUAAUCAUAUUCAUACUAUCUUGAAAAGAAAAUAAAAAUGUUAAAAAAUAGUAAGCCCCAUGUGAGUAUGCUCAUGGCAUAAAACCCAUAAGUACAUUCACUGUGGUGGCAUAAAAAUAAAAUAAAUAUAUUUAUGUUCUAUAAAAAUGAAAAUAUAAAAAUAAAUUUAUGAUCCUACCAAAGAGUGUAAUAUUUAUUGAGGAGGCUCAACAUGAUAAAGGCUAGAUAUUUAUGCUAACACUUAACCAGUUCCACAGAGCUUUGUUGUCUAUUUGAGCUCCACAGAAUUCAAGGAUCAAAGAAGACUAGCAGACAGAGGACAUCCUAAUCACUGUCAGUGUGCUGCCGACAUGCAAAUACACCUCCGCCACCUGCUACAUCAGAAGAAAUUACGUCAAAAUCCAGCUUGGGGGAGAGUACCCCUAUUUAUCCAGCUAAGUGUUUCUACUCACGUUUAUAUUUUACUCAAAUAAUAAAACGAUGCAUAAUCAUAAAAACCCAAAUAAAGAUUUUGUGCUUAUAUAUAUAUCGUUGCUUAGUUUGCUAAAUAAAUAAAAAAUAAAAUUUGCUAUGAACCCUCGUGAUAAGCUCUCACAUAGAAAUGAUGAAUAGUUGCUCUGCCAUGUACCUAGUUUUCAAGUUUAAGCUUUCUCUCAAGUUUAGGCAUAACUGUUAUAAUUUAAACCUGCUCUAAACCUGAACUUAUGGGGAGAGUACUUGAUCUAAAGUCUAAGUCGUUAACGGAUACGAUAUGGGAAGGUUGAGCUGUUGUUUAUCUGUUCCUAGAGAUGCUAGAAUUGUGGAGAAUUUUAUCUUUGAAAAUCUUUAAAAUAACACAUGAUGAGUUCCUGUAUGAUGAGAGUUUAAAUUCCUACCACAGCCAUAUAUACAUGCUUGUUAGACUAUGAACCAUACAUUACUUUUUACUGCUUAUGAGCAUUGAGUGUGGUCAAGCUGUGUAGACCCUUAGGAGAUUGUCAUGUGGUUAAAUCAAGAUUCACUUGCACGUUCACUCACACAUGCUGCUUCUACUCCGGAAGUAUGCAUCCACAUAUAUCCAUCCAUUUCCAUCUCCAGAACCACCCAAAUAUAAUCUACUCCUAAUCCGGGAGAGAAUAGCCAAAAACAUUCGCCUAUUCUUGUUUUCUCUGUGAAAUAAAUGCUCAAGUUAUCUUGGUUACUACCACUUGCUAUAUUAUUUCAGGAGAUGAGUGCUCUAAUAAAAAAAAGAAAAGAGAAAAAAAAGAGAUGCGAGGAAAUAAAAAGGGGCAAGUGCCCGGAACCUUGAAAGAAAAAAAAAGUGAGACGAGAGGUAAAAAUGGACAAGUGUCCGACAGUAGAAUUAGGGCUACAAGAUACCCACCUGAGAGAAAAGAAAAAGAAAAUAUAGAGCAUCUCAUUCUCUCCAAAAGUUUCAAAAGAGCAAGAAAGGUAUGUAUCCCCUCAAAAGAGCACAAGUGGAAUUAGACUUUCACCAUUGUUAUCACCAUCAUACACCAUUCAUUCGCCACACAUGCACAUCUUGAUUUGACUUAUUGACUUGUUCUUCUGGAUCCAUGGUUUGACUAUGCAAUAAAUGUCUUGUAAGUAUGUAUUAGCUGUUUCCCACCUAUGAGCUCCAGAUAUCAAAAGCCUUAUUAGAGUAGGGUGAGAGAGAAGGCAAUGCCACUAUGCCUUAUACCACAAAUACCACAUACUUUGAGAGAAGGCAUACACCAUUACUGCCUUGGUAAGGAUCCAAAAAUACCACAAAAGAGAGACUAGAGAGAGUCAUACAAGGAAUCUCUGAGUUUUAUUUAAAAAUCUGCAAAAACUCCAGAGCUAUAGUUAAUCGAAGAACAAGAGACAUGGUGCUUGACUAGACCGUUCUAUCUUUUAACUGCUCAAGACACAAGUGACGGAUACAAGCCCCAUGGUGGAAGGUAAAAUGAGUAAAUUUAAAUCUUAAAAGUUUACCCUAACCCAGAGAUGAGAUAUUGUUUGAACGCAUGUGUAUCUUUAAGGCAUGGAACCACUGCAGAAACUCUUGAGUUCAUCUUUGCUCAGGGACGAGCAAAGGUUAAGCUUGGGGGAGCUUGUUGACGGUCCUUAAUGCUCAAAUUUAACCAUAAACUAAUCAGGGAAAAAGACUUAUAUAUAGACAACACUUAGACUUAGGGUUUUAUCUGACAGAAUUCCAUGAGUUUUGGAGUUUGUCUAUUUCUGCAGGGGGUUAUCAGGAAAUAUGAAAGAAAGGCCCACACGUCAGGUUUACAUAGAGAUAUUAACGUGCCGCGCAAUUUUCUACCAUCUAGAAGACUCCAGAAGCCACGGGAACGAACAGGAGGCCGUUCGGGCCCGGGGGCAGGGUGCCCGCCCAGCUACAGUAACCAAUCAGCUUCAACUUCGCGGAUCGUGCUCCACCAACCUAAGGGACCAAGGAAAACCGUGUGAUUAAUGUCGGUUUGAUCCGAUGGCCCAGAUUCAUCUGAAAAGACUAUAUAAGCAAGGCCCCCUGGCCCCUGGAGAGCAUACCUCUUCUACAGAAUCAAAGCUAGGGUUUCAAUUCUUCAUCCAAGUAGAGAGGAUCCCUCUAGUUCUUCUAGUUCUACCUCUAGUUCAUCUAGAUCUAGUUCUAGUUCAUCUAGUUCUAGUUCUAGUUCCUCUAGUUCUAGUUCUAGUUAGUUCUAGUUGUAAUCUAGAAAAUAGGGAGAGAGAAGAGGAGAGAGGAGGAGGAGCCAGAUCUGUCGGAUCUUCCUCAACAUUAUACUUUUGCAGCAUCUGGUUCAUUCUUCAUCGUUCUCCAGGUUCUUCAAUUCAUAAUCCUGAGUUCUUUAAUUACUUUUAUUUACAUUCAAGUUAUUUAUUGGAUUCCCGCUUGCAUCAAGUGCUCUAGUCUUUAUAACGCUAGAGUAGUAAUUAACAGAUUAGACGUGGUGUUUAGUCUUGCAAUUACCUGGAAUUGCACCCAAUCCUUCGGAUUGUUGUGGUAGCCUUAGGGUAGUGACAGCCCUAACGGUCGACGUAUUCCACCUCGUUCGGAUCGGUGUUUGUAGGACCGUAGUCAGACAUUCCUAGCCCCCUUCUCAUCUGUUUCUGUGGUUAGUGCUCUGAUGUCCCGAUAUAGAUAAUCUUGAAGUAAUUCUUGAUUCUUAGAUCAACUAGAGAACUCUCAGGAAACUUCCUCUCUUCCCACCAAAAAUAUUCAUAUAGUUAUCCUUGGGUGAUCUUGAUUCUUAAUUAGUACACUCACGUUCUAUGUGGAAAAUCGAUACUCUGGAAUACUCCCGGGUGAAAGCUACAUCGGUAUCCGUGCGGCUACAUCGGUAUCCGUGCGCUUGCAGAUUUUUCUGUUUGCGUUUAAAAUACCCAACACAUGCCAAUAGCACUGGCGGCUCGUCAAUCCCCCUCCACAAAGGGGUUGUGAACCGCCUCUAUAGUACCUUUCUGUACUAGUGUCAGGGCACCAAGAGUUUGACUGAGUAUCUUCAUGCUUUCAAUAACUUGUCUCGCUAUGCUACUGAGUUUGUAGACACUGAUGCCAAGAAUCUUGCUAGUUUCAAGAGGGGACUCGGGCCAAGCUAUCAAAAAACAUGGCUGGUAACAAGAGUACCACCUUCAAUGAGUUCGUGAGUGAUGCCUUGACUGAAGAGAACUCUAAUGCGAUCUAUGCUGCAUCCAAGAACCGCAAGAGGGCCUAUGAAGCAGGUGCUUCACAGUCCAAGGCUCUAGUGGCAACCAAGCCGACUUAUCACCCGCCCAAUGUUGUGACCAGGUACAAGCCACCUUAGAAGAAGUCUAACGUGAAGAUGGGGAUUUGCAAAUCUUUCACUAUUGCUCUUCCUAGGGGCGCCACAGGUCAAGGGAGCUCCAAUACUCCCCCUGCUAAUCGUCCCUACUUUAACUGCAAGCAAGUUGGUCAUUGGGUGAGAGAUUGCCCUUAUUCUAAGAGGAAUUCUGUAGCUAGAGGCAAUGUACAUCCCGGCCGAGUGCACUACACCACCAUUGAAGAAAUUCCUACAGGUGAAGUGGUUACGGCUGGUAUGUUUCUUGUCAAUCAACACCCUACAGUUGUUUUGUUUGAUUCUGGAGCUUUGCAUUCUUUUAUGAGUCAAGCAUUUUCAUCUAAGCAUGGGCAAAAUGUAGUGGAUAUUGAUAAGGGCAAAUUUUGCAUUAGUGCUGCUGGUAAUCAAAUCUCUACUAACCAAUUGGUAAGAAAUGUACACCUUGCCAUUGAGGGGCGUAACUAUUCAGUCGAUCUUGUAAUUUUGCCUGGCUUAGGAAUAGAUGUUAUUUUGGGGAUGAAUUGGAUGAGCGGCCAUGGUGUGUUAAUAGAUACCUCAACAAGGGUAAUCAUGUUGAGGGAACCUGAUAGUAAAGAAGAUUUCUUAGUCCAUCUUCCUAGAGAUGAUGACAUCCGUCAUGCUGUGAAUGCUAUAAGACCACUCAUUGUGGCAGAAAUCCCUGUAGUGUGUGAGUUUUCGGAUGUUUUUUCCAGAGGAUCUACCUAGGUUGCCUCUAGACAGAGACAUCGAGUUUAAAAUUGAUCUAAUUCUUGGCACUGCACCUAUCUCUAGAAGGCCAUAUUGAAUGCCACCAAAUGAACUAGCAGAGUUGAAGAAGCAAUUGCAAGAACUCCUAGAGAAGGGUCUUAUUCGGCUUCUCCAUGGGGUUGUCUCGCUCUCUUUGUCAAGAAGAAGGAUAAGUCUCUCCGUAUGUGUGUAGACUAUCCUCCGCUGAGUGCCGUCACUAUCAAGAACAAGUAUCCCUUGCCUCACAUUGAUAUUCUGUUUGACUAGUUAGCCAAGGCCAAGGUAUUCUCAAAGAUUGAUUUGAGAUCUGGAUAUUAUCAAAUCAAGAUCUGACCUGAAGACGUUCCUAAAACAACUUUCUCUACCAGGUAUGGGCUAUAUGAGUAUUUAGUCAUGUCCUUUGGUCUAACUAAUGCCCCUGCUCAUUUCAUGUACCUAAUGAAUUCGGUGUUCAUGCCUGAAUUGGAUAAGUUUGUGGUGGUGUUCGUCGAUGACAUAUUGGUGUAUUCUGAAAAUGCCCAAGACUAUGAGAAGCACCUUCGGAUUGUACUCACCAGAUUGCGUGAACAUCAGCUCUAUGCCAAGUACAGCAAAUGUGAGUUUUGGCUGAAGAAAGUGCCUUUCCAAGGCCACAUUUUGUCCGAAGAUGGAAUCUCUGUUGACCCAUCAAAAGUGCAAGAGGUUCUAGACUGGAAAGCCCCGACUUCAGUACAUGAGGUUCAUAGUUUUCUCGGCCUAGCGGGUUAUUAUUGUCGCUUUAUUCCAGACUUUGCUAAGAUAUCCAAACCUAUGACCAAGCUGCUGCAAAAAGAUGUGAAAUUGGUGUGGUCUGAGGAGUGUGAAGUCACUUUCAAUGCUUUACGCCACUUGCUGACCACUGCCCCUGUUCUAGCACAACGUGACAUUGAAAAGCCAUUCGAUGUUUUUUGUGAUGCCUCUGGCAUCGGUUUGGGCUGUGUGCUUAUGCAAGAAGGCCGAGUCAUUGCCUAUGCCUCUCGGCAGCUGAGGAAGCAUGUAGUCAACUAUCCUACUCAUGAUCUAGAGUUAGCGGCAGUUGUGCAUGCAUUGAAACUCUAGAGGCACUAUCUAUUGGGUAAUUUGUGUCAUAUUUACACUGACCAUAAGAGCCUCAAGUAUAUCUUCACCUAGCUCGAGCUGAACAUGAGACAAUGAAGAUGGUUAGAAUUGAUUAAGGAUUAUAAUCUUGAAGUGCACUAUCAUCCAGGCAAAGCCAAUGUUGUAGCCAAUGCCCUUAGCCGAAAACAACACGUUAGACCUCUCCUCGAAGAAGGCUUCAAUUUGUUGCACCCUGUAGUCUUGCAUAACAUCAUGGUCAGUUGUUCUCUAGAAAGCCAAAUCAUAGAACCACAAAAGACCGACCCUGGUAUCUUCCAUAUCAAGAGAAAAAAAGAAAGAGCAAGACACCAAGCAUUUCAGGGGUGAUGAGAAAAGUGUGCUGUGGUUUGAUGAUCGACUUGUAGUACCCAAAGUCCGUGAGAUCCAAAAUAAAAUACUCGAUGAAGCUCACUCCUCUAAGCUAUCCAUCCAUCCUGGUAAAAGCAAGAUGUGUCAGGACUUGAAGCCUCAUUUUCAGUGGACCAAGAUGAAGAAAGAAAUAGCAGCUUAUGUUGUUAGGUGUGAUACCUGCUGCAGGGUAAAGGCAAUUCACCGUAAACCUAUAGGUCCGUUGCUACCUUUGUCAGUUCCAGGGUGGAAGUGGGAAGAAAUCAGCAAGGAUUUCAUUGUUGGGCUUCCCCCUACCCAAAAAGGUCACGAUUCCAUAUGGGUGAUAGUGGAUCGCUUGACCAAGUCAGCUCAUUUCAUCUCAGUGCGAUCUAACUACCGUCCAUCCGACUAUGCUGAGUUGUAUUUCUCCUAGCUCGUUAAAUUGCACGGAGUGCCUUGAAACAUUGUUUCAAAUAGAGGUCCUCAGUUCACCGCUCGCUUCUAGGAACAUUUACAUUCACUCCUUGGUACAAAAUUGAUUCACAGUUCGGCUUAUCAUCCUCAAACUUCUGGUCAAACUAAGCGUGUGAAUCAAAUUUUGGAGGAUAUGUUGAGGGCAUGUGUCAUCUCUUCCAAGGGAGCUUGGGAGAAAUGGCUACCCUUAGCUGAAUUCUCUUACAAUAAUAGCUAUCAAGAGAGUAUUCAGAUGGCUCCUUUCGAAGCUUUAUAUGGCCGCAAAUGUAGGACUCCUCUGAACUAGGUUGAGCCCGGGGAAAGGAGAUACUACGGCAUUGAUUUCGUCAAAGAAACUGAAGAGCAGGUUCUCACCAUCCAAAAACACAUGGAAGCUGCACAGGCUAAACAGAAAAGCUACGCCGAUCGAAGAAGAAGACCACUCGAGUUUGAAGUAGGUGACUUUAUGUACCUAAAGGUAUCCCCCAUGAAGGGAGUGAACCGCUUCGGUGUGAAGAGGAAGCUUGCUCCUAGAUAUGUGGGUCCCUACUAAAUCAUCGAGAAGAGUGGCAAAGUGGCUUACAAGGUGUAGUUACCUUAUGAGAUGAGAGCUAUCUUCCCUGUAUUCCAUGUGUCUCAACUCAAGAAAUGCCUUCGUAUUCCCAAAGAAAGAGUGGAAACGGGAGGCCUUAAGUUACAAUCAGACCUAUCCAAUGAAGAAAAGCUCGUGCAAGUCCUUGAUGUCAAAGAAAGGGUUACCCAAAGGAGAGUGAUCAAACUUUAUAGGGUGCUAUGGAACCACCAUAGUGAGAGAGAUGCCACGUGGGAAAGGGAAGAUUAUUUAAAGUAACUUAUCCCUCCUUCUAUGAAAAAUGGUAUGCCUUUCAAAUCUCGGGACGAGAAUUUUGUAAGGGGGGGGCUUUAACACUCCUAGUGUUAGCUUGCAUGUUAAGCAUGAGCAUUGCAUCAACAUGAGCAUCAUCAUUGUUGACGGUCCUUAAGUAUCAAAUUUAAUUAUCAAAUAAAUAAAGAAAAGGAUCCAAAAUGAAAUCAAGAUCUAGACUUAGGGUUUUAUCUAACAGAAUUCCACGAGUUUUGGUGUUUGUCUAUUUAUGCAGGGGGUUAUCAGGAAAUAUGAAAGAAAGGCCCACAUGUCGGGAUUACGUAAAGAUAUUAACGUGAUGCGCAAUUAUCUUACAUCUAGAAGACUCCAGAAGCCACGAGACCGAAGCGGAGGCGAAACGGGGCCAGAGGCAGGGCGCCCGCCCUCCUGCCCUGGGCGCCCGCCCACCUCCUGUGUCCAAUCAGGACUCUGCUUUGCGGGAGAUCUCCACCGACCUAAAGGAUGAAUCUAAACCAUACAAUCUAUGUCGGUUUGAUCCAAGGGCCCAUAUUCACUUGGAGGGACUAUAAAACCAGACCCCCUGGCCCCUGGAGGAGAGAGCCUCUCAACCCUAAUUCAUUGUUCCAUCAAGGGAGAAGAAGCCUCUGAUCAAGAUUAGAGCCACUGUUGAUAUUUGGUAACGCAAUUAGAAAAUGAUCCGCAAGCGCACGGAUAUCGGUGAGCAUUUCACCCGGGAGGUUAUCCAGAGUUAUCGUAUUUAUAUUUUUACCACUGGGAGAAAGGGUGCAUCUGACUAACCAAAUCUAUUGCUACUAUCCCUUUAGGCUACAAAGAAUAUCUCUCGAUGUGAGUGAUGUAUAGAGAAGACUGCAACCGUAGUCUCGUUCUAACCUUGGUAAGGAUGAUCUAUUGUUCUAUUGGGGAGGCUCACGGAAUCUAGACAACACAAAGGAUGUUCGACCCGCACCUAUAACCCUACCCGUCCUGCUAACGAGAUGUGAUCUGCAAAGGUAACUCGGAAAUGUCACGUUCCUCGCUACUACCACGGUCCAGCUAGUCAGGGGAUAUCUAUGAGUACCCUAGCCUAAACACCACGUUUACGCUAACAAUUGAUUACUCUAAUACUCAACCGGAAGAGGAUUAAAGUAAACUCAUAAACCAAAGAACAAUAAAACAAGAACUUACUAGUAUUAGAAGUCGAAUUACUGAAGAAUCUUAGAAGCAAGCCUCGGGUUAGGAGACUUGAUCCCGUAGGUACAACUCGGAGUAGACACCGACAGGCCGGCCUUCCUCCGAUCCACACCUCCACUCUAUCUCUCUCAAUCUAGUAGAAACUAGAAGAUCUAUUUCUACUUUACAUUGGUUGCUAAGCCUAAAAAUAAAUAUUAUUUAGAGAAGAGGUUUUCCUUCGAGGGCACCCCUCAAUCUCUAUGAUAAUUUCUUGUCUCCUCCAGGGGCCAGGGGGCCUUGCUUAUAUAGUCCUCCCCUUCUAUGCGUUUUUGGGUCGAUAGGCGAGGUGGUACUAUGUUUUUCUUGAUCCAAUAGGUCGGUGGAAUAUCCCGAGCGAAAGAGUCCUGAUUUGGCUCCAACAGGGGGGCGGGCGCCCAGGCUACCAGGGCGGGCGCCCUGGGCCUGGCCCCUUUCGGGCUCCGCUUCCUUCCCAUGGCUUCUGGACUCUUCUAGAUGGUAGAAAAUUGCGCGGUGGGUUGAUAUCUCUAUGUAAUCCCGACAUGUGGGCCUUUCUUCCUUAUUUCCUGAUAACCCCCUGCAGAAAUAGACAAACACAAAAACUCGUGGAAUUCUGUCAGAUAAAACCCUAAGUCUAGAUGUUGAUUUUAUUUGGAUCCUUUUCUUUGUUUAUUUGAUAAUUAAAUUUGAUACUUAAGGACCGUCAACAAACUCCCCCAAGCUUACCUCUUGCUCGUCCCUGAGCAAGGAUGAACUCAAGAGUUUCUACAGUGGUUUCAUUUCUUAGAAGUACACACGCAUUUAAGCAAGAUCUCAUCUCUGAGUUAGAAUAAACUGUUAAGACUUAAAACUUACUUACUUUACCUACACCAUAGGACUUGUAACCGUCACUUCUGUCUUGAGUGAUUAAAAGAUAGAACAGUCUAGCCAAGUGCCAUGUCUCUUAUUCUUGAUCAGCUAUAGCUCUGGGGUUUUUGCAGAUUUUCAAAUAAAACUCAGAAAUUCCUUGUAUGAUUCUCUCAGGUCUCUCUUUUGUGGUAUUUUUGGAUCCUUACCAAGGCAGUGAUGGUAUAUGCCUUCUCUCAAGAUAUGUGGUAUUUGUGGUAUGAAGCAUAGUGACAUUGUCUUCUCUCUCACCCUACUCUAAUAAGGCUUUAAUAUCUGGAGCUCAUAGGUGGGAGAUAAAGUAUACAUACUUACAAGACAUUUAUUGCAUAGUCAAACCAUGGAUCCAAAGAAACAAAUCAAUAAGCCAAAUCAAGAUGUGCAUGUGAAUGGUGUAUGGUGAUGAUGGUGAUAAUGGUGGUGGAAGUCUAAUUCUACUUUGCUCUUUGAGGGGAUACAUACCUUCCUUGCUUUUGAAACUUUAUGAGGAGAAUGAGAUGCUCUAUAUUUUCUUUCUCUUUCCUCUCAGGUGGGUAUCUUGUACCCCUAAUUCUACUGUCGGACACUUGUCCAUUUUUACCUCUCGUCUCACUUUUUCUUUUCUUCGAGGUUCCGGGCACUUGCCCCUUUUUAUUUCCUCGUAUAUUAUUUUUUUUCUUCUUCUUCUUUUUUUUUCUCUUUUUUUUCUUUCUAGAGCACUCAUCUCCUAAAAUAAUGUAGCAAGUGGUAGUAACCAAAAUAACUGGAGCAUUUAUUUCACAGGGAAUAAUAGGGAUAGGAAAAUGUUUUUGGCUAUUCUCUCCCGGAUUAGGAGUAGAAUAAUUUUGGGUAAAACUGGAGAUAGAAAUGAGUGGAUAUAUGUGGAUGGUACUUCCGGAGUAGAAGUAGCAUGUAUGAGUGAACGUGCAAGUGAAUCUUGAUUUAACCACAUGACAAGCUCCUAAGGGUCUACACAGCUUGACAACACUCAAUGCUCAUAAGCAGUAAAUAGUAAAUGUGUGGCUCAAGGUCUAGCAAGCAUGUAUAUAUGGCUGUGGUAGGAAUUUAAACUCUCAUCAUACAGGAACUCAUCAUGUGAUAUUUUAAAGAUUUUCAAAGAUAAAAUUCUCCAGAAUUCUAGCAUCUCUAGGAACAGAUAAACAGCAGCUCAACCUUCCCAUAUCGUAUCCGUUAACAACUUAGGCUUCAGAUCAAGUUUUCAUCCCACAAGUUUAGGUCUAGAGCAAGCCUUAAAUUAUAACAGUUAUAUCUAAACUUGAGAGAGAACUUCAAAUUUGCAAAUUAGGCAGAGCAACUAUUCAUCAUAUCCAUGCUUAAGUUUUAUUAGAUACAGAUUAGCAUAGCCACUUUAUUUGUUUAUUAAACACACUAAGCAAAAUAUAUAUAAGCAUAAAAUCUUUAUUUGGUUUUUCAUAGUUAUGUGUAUUUAUAUUCUAAUAUAGUAUAAGUAUAAAGAUAGAUAGAAAUACUUAUCGAGAUAAAUGGGGGUGCUCUCCCCCAAGCUGAAUUUUGACGUAAUUUCUCUUGAUGUAGCUAGCAGGUGGCAGAGGUGUGUUUGAAAGUCAGCAAUAUUUUGACAGCGAUUAGAAUGUCCUCCGUCUGCUAGUCUUCUUGAUUCUUAAAUUCUGUGGAGCUCAAAUAGACAACAAAGCUUGUGGAACUGAUUAAGUGUUAGCAUAAAUAUCUAGCCUUUAUUAUCUUGAGACUCCUUAAUAAUUAUUACUCCCUGUUUUUAUAUUUUUGUUUUUAUAAAGUAGAAAAAUAUUUAUUUUAUUUUUAUGCCACCAUAGUGAAUGUACUUAUGGGUUUUAUGCCACUCGUCUACUCACAUGGGGCUUACAGUUUUUUUUCACAUUUUUAUUUUCUUUCUAGGAUAAUACGAACAUGAUUAACUAAGUAAACUAUUUGAAAUAAUUAAAAGGGAAAGGAUAACUACCAAGUUUACCUCUUGGCAAGGCGUUCGGUGUUUUUAAGUCCUCCGAGCGGGACUCUCCAUUUUCUUAAUCGUCCUGGGAUUCGCUGGAUGACGUAGUCGGUGAUUCCGGUGGCGCCUUCCUCUUCGUGUGUAACUACAUUCUCUCUUCACACCUGACUCGGUGCUAUGGUCUCCUCAGGACAGUUAUGUUCAAGCUGUAUGUCUUCAGACCUUACCACUUCUCCUUCGUAGUCUACCCAUCCGUCCUUGAUGAUUUGCCUCCUCUGGUUACGGUUGCGUUGUCUUCUUCUUGUCCUGAUCUGUUUAGAAUCUUCAACUAUAUAGUUAGAAUCAUUAAAGUAGUGGCGUACCUUCUCAGAGGGGAAGUGCAUGUGGACUUCUCCGGUUCCAAUAUAGAUAAUGGCUUUGAUAGUGUUGAGGAACGGUCUUCUAAGGAUGGUGGGUGGAUCAUACUUGUCUUCUCCCAUGUUAAUGACCUGAAAAUCAUCUGGAGCUGAAUGUAUAUUGGUUGUAGGGGCAUGGUUCCAUGCAGGAGCUGAUAAGUGACUGCGGUCAUUAUGUUGACGUCAGAUCCGGUGUCGUAGAGUGUCUUCUGAAAAGAGUAUCUGUUGAUUGUGCACUCAAUGCUUAGAACACCAGGGUCGUCCUUCUUGAUCAAGAAAGGUGACUUGAGUCGACGAUCUUGGCCUCCUUGAACUGUAGUGACCAUCUUAGCUGAUUCGGUCCACAUUUGCUUGUUCCUGUUCCUCCUGUUGGUCCUCUUCCUUGGUUCAUGUCGGGGUUGCUCUAAAGUUUGUGUAGUCUUGUUCUUGAAGGAAAGUCUCCUUCUUCCCCUUGAUGUAGAGACUGAUCUUGGCAGCAUUAGCGUAGAUGACAGCUCUAGUGUUUAGGAAUGGCCUCCCUAAGAUGAUGGGUGCCCUCUCCUCAGUACCAGUCUCUAUCACCAUGAAGUCUGCUAGAGCAUACAAGGUACCAACUCGGACGCAGAGGUUCUUCAAUAUUUCCUUUGGGAAACUGGGUGUCCGAUCUGCAACCCUGGGCAUAAUGUUGACACUGGAGCCAAAGUCGCAGAGUGCUUCUGGGAAGUCCACCAUGCCGAUGGAGAUCGGGAUGACGGGGCGUCCUAGAUCACCUCUCUGAGUAAUUAGGCCUCUGUUGAUUCCAACCUUGAUGUUGUUGAGGACGGUUAUAGUAAUAGUUGUUAUUGUUGUUGAUGUAGUUCACGUCCUCAAGGAUCUUAGGGCAGUGAUUGCCUGAGCGUCCAGUAUCUCCAGUGUAUUUGUGCUCGUAGAUCCUAGUUCUUCACUUAGUGGAAUCUGGAAGUUGUAAAACUCCUUCAUAUUAUGCUCGAAGUGUUCCUGCUCAUAGAGACAAGGUAGAGAUCAAGUGCAUGGGCCCUGUUGGUGGAAAACACCAACGGAACCAAAAGUGUAUUUGUUCUUCUCUAACCUUAAGCAUAGUGAGCAAGACAAAGUUGAUGGAUCAUGAGUGUAGCAUUUGUCAGAUCAGAUGGCUCAACCUAAUGGAAAGAUAAUCUAUCUAUAUUUAUGUUUUGUUUAUAUCUUCCAAAGAUUGAAUGUGCAAUACUUUAGCUUAUAUGAUUAGGAGUGUGGGAUCACGAAGGUAGUACUAAGAACAAAGAUUAAAGGACUAAACAUGUUGAAUUAAUUGGGUUGAUUAAUUUGGAGCUACAAAUCAUACAUGUUUGUCUCUUUAUUUUAUGUGAACGCUAGAACCAAGGAGAAGCUUAUAAAAGUGAUAGUCAAGUACCCUAAAAUGUUACCUUACUUGAAGAGUGAUGGUACAGUAUCACCUUGUGGAAGCUUUCCUUUCUUAGCGGUUGUGCAUCGUGUUUGUGGCACCCUCCAUGAAUCAUCUCUUAUGAGCUACGUCUUUCUUGUGCAAAUUGUUAAACUUCAUGUGUCACUUUCUUCAUCUCCAAUGAGUUUGCAUCUCAGGACUUCCCAGGUUGAUAUUGAAAGUUUUCCUACAGGGGUUAGUCCAACAAAAUAUACCAAUAUCUACUCAACCAGUUUUUAGUUCAGUAACCAAACUAGACUCCAUGUCUAAUCAGAUUAAGGAAGGCUAUUUAACCUAAGCACCACGCUUAAUUUAAAUGCCAUUGGAAGUGUGUCCAGUACUUCCAAACUAACACUUACUAGGAUAAACAAAGGUAGCAUGAUGGCUUUUAUAGAGAUCUACUCAAGUGGAGAUGAAGUAGUGUGAUUAGUAUUUAACAAAUUGAGCAUGUCUCAAAGGUAAGGACAACCAACAUAGCAACAUGGCAAAGGAUGUUUUAUGUAAAGUACUCCCCCAAGCUUGAAUUUUGCAAAAUUCAAGAUUGGAUGAAUUUAAUUUAAUGUUGCAUGAUGAUUCGUUGGGCAUACCUUGCGCUCGUCAUUCAUCCGAUCUUCUUGCUCCAAUCCUAGAAAGGUUAGUGGCAAGAAUACCCGAAGGAAUAUUUCUACAAUUAUCUUUAUAUGCUCAAUACACAAGGCAAUGUUGCAAAUAAUUAGAAGUGCUUGUUUUAGGACACUAAGCUUGUCCUUGGGGAACCAUCAAUUAACUCAACGAGAUCUGCAAUAUUUAUUAUAGACAUACGCAUCGACAACCGCCCUUUUAAAGUUUUUAUAAAUAGAAAAGAAGAGGGGGUUGGAGAUCUCAAAUGUGGUAAGGAUGGAGAGACAAAUUGAUUGGAGAGAUGUUUUAUAUGAGCAAGGACUGGGUGAGGUAUUUAUGAAAUCACUUCCAUGCUCACUGUUGUUUCUCUCAUUCUCAAACUCCAAGGAUGAUUCUUCAUGAAUGUUUAAAAUUUCUCUAGGAUUGUCUCUCAAGUUUGUUUUAUCUAUCCAUUCAAUGGUGAUAGCACAUGUAUUUUUAAUGCCCUCUAGCCAUUGAUGUUGCUCUUCUCGAUCCUCCUUCUUAUGCAUGGGAUGUCUAGAUAGAUUCAUAGGAUUAUCGGGAGGUUCAAGAGAAAGAGCAUAGUAGAAAUUGUUAAGAUCAAGGAUGGGUUGGAUAGCCGAAUCAUGGGAUUGAAAUGUUUGGAAAUUGGCUAUUAAAACUUCCUUUCCUCGUCUAGGAGAUGAUUCCUUCUCUAUCUCUAAGAUUUUUCUAUGAAGACUAGUACAAGAAGGAUGUCCACAAAUGAAGACAUACCUUCCUUUACUAAUAGAUAAAGAAAGAAGGACUCUACCAAAGGUUAUAUGAUCAAGACCAAUGUGAAAAUAUCUAGGAAAAACAUGGUCCUGUAGGGCUAGGUCUAAACCAGAAUUUAUAGAAAGAUUAACAGAUUCCCUAGGUGUAGCUAAAAGUGCAUUAUCUUUUUGAUUAAAAGAUAGGACCUUAGCUAUAGAAAAGGGUUGGUUUUGACCUAUUGCAAUCAACUCCGGACACAGAUCAUAAUUACGGGCAGGACGUGUUGACUCCCAUGGUCUAUGGCUGGUCUCCGAAGGUGCAAAGAAUUCAAUAAUAAGUAUGGAAUUUGAGUUAUCCAUAAAGAUGGAAAAAAUAAAAAGAUAAAAGAAUAAAAGUAUAAUACAAGAUAAUAGCAAGACUCAAAGUUAUCUCAGCAAACCGUCUUUCUCCCCGGCAACGGCACCAGAAAUGCUUGUUGAUAUUUGGUAACGCAAUUAGAAAAUGAUCCGCAAGCGCACGGAUAUCGGUGAGCAUUUCACCCGGGAGGUUAUCCAGAGUUAUCGUAUUUAUAUUUUUACCACUGGGAGAAAGGGUGCAUCUGACUAACCAAAUCUAUUGCUACUAUCCCUUUAGGCUACAAAGAAUGUCUCUCGAUGUGAGUGAUGUAUAGAGAAGACUGCAACCGUAGUCUCGUUCUAACCUUGGUAAGGAUGAUCUACUGUUCUAUUGGGGAGGCUCACGGAAUCUAGACAACACAAAGGAUGUUCGACCUGCACCUAUAAACCUACCCGUCCUGCUAACGAGAUGUGAUCUGCAAAGGUAACUCGGAAAUGUCACGUUCCUCGCUACUACCACGGUCCAGCUAGUCAGGGGAUAUCUAUGAGUACCCUAGCCUAAACACCACGUUUACGCUAACAAGUGAUUACUCUAAUACUCAACCGGAAGAGGAUUAAAGUAAACUCAUAAACCAAAGAACAAUAAAACAAGAACUUACUAGUAUUAGAAGUCGAAUUACUGAAGAAUCUUAGAAGCAAGCCUCGGGUUAGGAGACUUGAUCCCGUUGGUACAACUCGGAGUAGACACCGACAGGCCGGCCUUCCUCCGAUCCACACCUCCACUCUAUCUCUCUCAAUCUAGUAGAAACUAGAAGAUCUAUUUCUACUUUACAUUGGUUGCUAAGCCUAAAAAGAAAUAUUAUUUAGAGAAGAGGUUUUCCUUCGAGGGCACCCCUCAAUCUCUAUGAUAAUUUCUUGUCUCCUCCAGGGGCCAGGGGGCCUUGCUUAUAUAGUCCUCCCCUUCUAUGCGUUUUUGGGUCGAUAGGCGAGGUGGUACUAUAUUUUUCUUGAUCCAAUAGGUCGGUGGAAUAUCCCGAGCGAAAGAGUCCUGAUUUGGCUCCAACAGGGGGGCGGGCGCCCUGGGCCUGGCCCCUUUCGGGCUCCGCUUCCUUCCCGUGGCUUCUGGACUCUUCUAGAUGGUAGAAAAUUGCGCGGUGGGUUGAUAUCUCUAUGUAAUCCCGACAUGUGGGCCUUUCUUCCUUAUUUCCUGAUAACCCCCUGCAGAAAUAGACAAACACCAAAACUCCUGGAAUUCUGUCAGAUAAAACCCUAAGUCUAGAUGUUGAUUUUAUUUGGAUCCUUUUCUUUGUUUAUUUGAUAAUUAAAUUUGAUACUUAAGGACCGUCAACAGCCACCACAUCAAUUAGACAUCUAGAUUAGCAUAGCUACAUAGGAUUAGAACUAGAAGGAGUCAAUCUUCGAUUGGUUUCCGGAUCUGUCAGGACGAUUCUUGGUAAUUCUCUAAUUGUGCUUCUAAUUGCUUUCUAAUUAUCUUUGUUCUUCAAUAUUAUGAAUAUGACUUUGUUCUACUUUAAUAUAUUGCUUAUGACUUUGCUCUACUUGCUUAUAUUCAAGAUUAUAUUGUUCUUAGUUUAUCAUAGUUAUGUACUUGGCUUAGUUAGAUUCGAUCUAUAUACAUGCUUAGGAUCGUAUAGCGUUUAUCCAUCGGAUCCAUGGGUAAAUGAUAGAUAUUGUGUAGGCGUGGUGCUUAUACCGUAUUUAUCUGCGAUUGUACCCAAUAUGCCAGAUCGUGGGGUGGUUCGUGAUAGUGACAACUUCAUUGAUUCUUAUAUAGUCCCCCUCUCGUGUAUUGGGCUGGCAGAGCAACAUUAUUACAGGGGAGAGAUUGCUAUGUUUCUCAUAUUCCUUGCUAAUAUCACUAUGCAUGGGCGUAGUCUUGUCUCACAAUGAUUGCUAAGUAUGCUUGCACUAACUAUGAUAAUGCUAGACUAUAUAGUUAAGAAUAACUUAGGGAAUAUUCUUAUAGUUCAUUCUAAUACCAUGCUAAUGACUCUCUAGAGUAUCUAAUUGAGGUGCUUAUCAUAUUUAUUAUGUGGCUAGAUCAGAUUAGUUAUCCUUGUCACUAUUAUUAUUUCAUAUAUCUUUUAUGUGACACUUAUCCCUGUAUGAUGAGUUAGAUAUAAUGUUCUCAAUUAUACAUGCAAUGAUAGAUGCUCAAUCUCAUAUUCUAUUCUGUAAUCAAUAGUGAUGAUUGCUACUCCCUUCCCAGUGGUAAAAAUAUAAAUAACGAUACCUGGAAUACUUCCCGGUUAAAAUGCUGCAUCGGUAUUAAUCUGUGCGCUUGCAGAUCCCAUUCAUUAUUUAUUUAGAAGAGCAAUUGCAUAUUUCAAUACCGCGUCUCUUAUAUCAUGCUGGGGAUGACAACUUGACUUAAGUGGUGUGAGGGAUAGGUUUGGCAUUUUUGGCACCGUUACUAGAUUUAGAGAACUUAGUCUACUUUUGGUAAUGAUGUUAAGAAUACCCAACAAGCAUUUUUGGCGCCGUUGCCGGGGAAGGUUGAUUACCAGUCAGGAAUGGAAUAAAAGAUUUUGAGUUAUCAUUCGCAUCACUAAUUUGAUUGAGCUUAUCUAUUCUCUCAUACAGUUUUACCCCGAUAUUUUUCUAUUUUAUCUUAUGUAGGGGAAUGUAUGAAUAGAAGACAUCUUCCAGGAAAUUUUGUUGACAAUCCCGAAGCAUUAUUCAAGAAGACGAGAGCCAAGCUAAAGAAAUCAUCAACACUUCAUGAAGAAGCUUCAUCCAAUCAAGAAGAUCACCGGAACUUAUCUUCAGAGUUCGAAGCCAUGGCGAACAAAUCAAUCCGCGAGUUCUCAGCUCCCACUAUGGACAACAUCUGCACUGGACCUGCUGCAGAGAUCGACGGCAACUUUGAGCUCAAGCCUGGACUUAUCAACAUGGUGCAAUCCAACCAGUUCUGUGGGAAGGCACACGAAGAUGCUAGUGCUCAUUUACAACACUUCCUGGAGAUUUGCAACACAUUCACCAUAUCAGGAGUUUCCAAAGACGCUAUACUACUUCGCCUCUUCCCAUUCUCACUGUUAGGAAGAGCGAAGCAGUGGUUCUACGCUACAAAGGAGAAGAAUACUACGUGGGCACUCUGCUCAACAAACUUCCUGGCAAAGUUCUUUCCCAUGGGCAAGACCAAUGCUCUCCGUGGGAAGAUUACAAGUUUUCAGCAACAGAAUGAUGAAUCUGUUCCAGAAGCAUGGGAGCGCUUUCAAGACUACAUCCUAGAAUAUCCCCAUCAUGGAAUGGAGAGUUGGCUAUUGAUGCAGACGUUCUAUCAUGGGCUCAGCAACAGUGCCCGAGAGACCAUGGAUGCUGCAGCUGGAGGAGCAUUCUUAUCACUUACUAUACCACAAGCCACAACUCUUGUGGAGAAGAUGGCGUCCAAUCAAAGCUGGAAUGAAGAGAGGACCCAGACACGCAAGAGAGGUGGAGGUAUGCAUCAGCUGAAGGAGGUAGACAUGCUGUCUGCAAAGCUAGACCUGCUCAUGAAGAAGCUCGAUGAUAGAGCUGGAGACAAGAAAGAAGUUAUGCACAUCUACGACUCUCACAUGACUUGUGAGGAGUGUGGAGACACUGGACACUCAGGCAACCACUGCCCUGAGAUGCUUGAGGAUGUAAACUACAUCAACAACAACAACAACUACUACUACUACAACCGUCCUCAACAAACUCAAGGUUGGAAUCAACAGAGGCCUAACUACUCAGGUAAUUAUCAAGGUAACAAUUCUUACAACAAUAAUAAUAAUUUUCCACCUUUGAGAGAGUUAGUGUCUAAUCAAGGAAAGCUAAUGGAUAAUCUAUCUAAGAAAUUGGCAUCUAAUGAUAAAAUGCUAGAAAAUACAAAUAAUAGAAUGGAUAAUUUUUCUACUGCCAUCAAGAAUCAAAUUAGCUUUAAUAAAAUGAUUGAAUCCCAGUUGAAUCAAAUAGCUGCUGCUGUUCCUACUACUAACCCCGGUAUACCAUCACAACCGGAAGGAUUAGAAUCUACAAAUCUUGUAGACAUGUUUGCUGCAGGUAAUUGGAGUAACCCCGUCAAUGAAUUCUCUACUGACCUUCUGCCGGUCAAGAGAGGCGAUCCAGGACGCCCCGUCAUCCCGAUCUCCAUCGGCAUGGUGGACGUUCCAGAAGCACUCUGCGACUUUGGCUCCAGUGUCAACAUUAUAGCCAGGGUACUCUAUGAAAAAUUCUUUACAUAUCCUUUAUUAGAGACAACCAUGUGUUUGCAGUUUGCAGAUCAGACGAUAACUUUUCCAAAAGGAAUAGUGAAGAACCUUUGUGUCCGAGUUGGUACCUUAUAUGCCCCAGCAGACUUUGUAGUGGUAGAGACCGGAAAUGAUGAGAGAGCACCUAUCAUCCUAGGGAGGCCAUUUUUGAACACCACGGGAGCUAUCAUCUACGCCAGUGCUGCCAAGAUCAGUUUCUACGUCAAAGGAAAGAAGGAGACAUUUUUCUUCAAGAACAAGACUACACAAAUUCAAGAUCAAUCCAGACGUAAAUUAAGGAAGAGGACCAACAGGAGAAACAGGAACAAGCAAGUGUGGACCGAGUCAGCUAAGAUGGUCACUGUAGUCCAUGGAGGCCAAGAUCACCAACUUAAGUCACCGCUUUUGACUAAGAAGGAGGACCCAGGAAUGCCAAGCAUCUACUGCUCCAUAAAUGGAUACAACUUCUACAAGGCAACUUGUGACACCGGAUCGGGCGUCAACAUAAUGGCCGCAGUCACCUAUCGGCUCUUGUUCGGAACCAUGCCACUAAGACCAACAUACAUUCAGCUCCAGAUGGCAGAUCAGACAUUUCGAGAAGUUCAAGGAAUAGUAACUGAUGUCCCAGUCAAAAUAGACGAUCACUUUGUCUACACAGACUUUCAACUUGUUGACAUGGGAGAAGACGAGUAUGAUCCACCCAUCAUCCUUGGAAGACCGUUCCUCAGCACCGUUAAAGCAAUUAUCUACAUUGGAACCGGAGAAGUCCAUAUGCACUUCCCCUCAGAGACGGUACGCCGUUAUUUUACUGACCCUAACUAUAUUGUUGAAGAAUCUAAGCAGGUCAGAAAGAGACGCAACCGCAACCAGAGGAGGCAGAUCAUCAAGGACGGAUGGGCAGACUAUGAAGGAGAAGUUGUAAGAUCAGAAGACGUUGAGUUUAAACAGAAUUAUCCAGAGAAGAUUGAAGCACCAAGUCAGGUGUGGAAAAUGAAGAUAACUAUACAAGAAGAGGAGGCGCUGCCGGAAGUACCGACUACGCCACCCAACGAACCUCAGGACGAUUAAGAAAAUGGAGAGUCCCGUUCGGAGGACUUAAAAACACCGAACGCCUUGCCAAGAGGUAAACUUGGUAGUUAUCCUUUCCCUUUCAAUUAUUUCAAAUAGUUUACUUAGUUAAUCAUGUUCGUAUUAUCCUAAAAAAAAGAAAAUAAAAAUGUGAAAAACAGUAAGCCCCAUGUGAGUAGACGAGUGGCAUAAAACCCAUAAGUACAUUCACUGUGGUGGCAUAAAAAUAAAAUAAUUAUUUUUCUGCUUUAUAAAAUGAAAAUAUAAAAAACAGGGAGUAAUAAUUAUUAAGGAGUCUCAAGAUGAUAAAGGCUAGAUAUUUAUGCUAACACUUAAUCAGUUCCACAAGCUAUGUUGUCUAUUUGAGCUCCACUGAAUUUAAGAAUCAAGAAGACUAGCAGACGGAGGACAUUCUAAUCGCUGUCAGAAUGCUGCUGACUUUCAAAAUACACCUCUGCCACCUGCUAGCUACAUCAAGCGAAAUUACGUCAAAAUUCAGCUUGGGGGAGAGCACCCCCAUUUAUCUCGAUAAGUAUUUCUAUCUAUCUUUAUACUUAUAUUAUUUUAGAAUAUAAAUACACAUAAACUAUGGAAAACCAAAUAAAGAUUUUAUGCUUAUAUAUAUAUAUAUAUGUCUUUUGCUUAGUGUGUUUAAUAAAUAAAUAAAGUAGCUAUGCUAAUCUAUAUCUAAAUAAAACUUAAGCAUGGAUAUGAUAAAUAGUUGCUCUGCCUAAUUUGCACAUUUUAAGUUCUCUCUCAAGUUUAGACAUAACUGUUAUAAUUUAAGGCUUGCUCUAGACCUAAACUUGUGGGAUGAAAAUUUGAUCUGAAGUCUAAGUUGUUAACGGAUAUGAUAUGGGAAGGUUGAGCUGUUGUUUAUCUGUUCCUAGAGAUGCUAGAAUUCUGGAGAAUUUUAUCUUUGAAAAUCUUUAAAAUAUUGUAUGAUGAGUUCCUGUAUGAUGAGAGUUUAAAUUCCUACCACAACCACAUAUACAUGCUUGCUAGACUUUGAGCCACACAUUUACUAUUUACUGCUUAUGAGCAUUGAGUGUAGUCAAGCUGUGUAGACCCUUAGGAGCUUGUCAUGUGGUUAAAUCAAGAUUUCACUUGCACGUCCACUCAUAUAUGCUACUUCUACUUCGGAAGUACCAUCCACAUAUAUCCACCCAUUCCAUCUCCAGAAUCACCCAAAAAUAUUCUACUCCUAAUCCGGGAGAGAGUAACCAAAAAUAUUUUUGUUUUCCCCUUGUGAAAUAAAUGCUCAAGUUAUCUUGUUACUACCACUUGCUAUAUUAUCUCAAGAGAUGAAUGCUCUAAAAAAAGAGAGAAAAAGAAAAAGAUACGAGGAAAUAAAAAGGAGCAAGUGCUCGGAACCUCGAAAAAAAAUAUAGAGCAUCUCAUUCUCCUCAUAAAAUUUCAAAAGCAAGAAAGGUAUGUAUCCCCUCAAAGAGCAAAGUAGAAUUAGACUUCCACCACCAUUGUUUCACCAUUGUCAUCACCAUACAUCAUUCAUUCGCCACACAUGCACAUCUUGAUUAAACUUAUUGACUUGUUACUUUGGAUCCAUGGUUUGACUAUGCAAUAAAUGUCUUAUAAGUAUGUAUACUUUAUCUCCCACCUAUGAGCUCCAGAUAUUAAAGCCUUAUUAGAGUAGGGUGAGAGAGAAGGCAAUGUCACUAUGCCUUAUACCACAAAUACUACAUAUCUUGAGAGAAGGCAUAUACCAUCAAUGCCUUGGUAAGGAUCCAAAAAUGCCACAAAAGAGAGACCUGAGAGAAUCAUAUAAGGAAUUUCUGAGUUUUAUUUGAAAAUCUGCAAAAACCUAGAGCUAUAGUUGAUCAAGAAUAAGAGACAUGACACUUGGCUAGACUGUUCUAUCUUUUAACCACUCAAGACAGAAGUGACAGUUACAAGUCCCAUGGUAAAGGUAAAGUAAGUAAGUUUUAAGUCUUGACAGUUUACUCUAACUCAAAGAUGAGAUCUUAUUUAAAAGCAUGUGUACCGUCAAUUUUUAAAUAUAUUGCAACAACUUAUGAUCCAUAGCUGAGUCUAUCCUUGCUCAGGGACGAGCAAGAAGUAAGCUUGGGGGAGUUUGUCGACGGUCCUUAAGUAUCAAAUUUAAUUAUCAAAUAAAUAAAGAAAAGGAUCCAAAUGAAAUCAAGAUCUAGACUUAGGGUUUCAUCUGAUAGAAUUCCACGAGUUUUGGUGUUUGUCUAUUUCUGCAGGGGGUUAUCAGGAAAUAUGAAAGAAAGGCCCACAUGUCGGGAUUACGUAAAGAUAUUAACGUGCUGCGCAAUUAUCUUACAUCUAGAAGACUCCAGAAGCCACGAGACCGAAGCGGAGGCGAAACAGGGCCAGAGGCAGGGCGCCCGCCCUCCUGCCCUGGGCGCCCGCCCACCUCCUGUGUCCAAUCAGGACUCUACUUUGCGGGAGAUCUCCACCGACCUAAAGGAUGAAUCUAAACCAUACAAUCUAUGUCGGUUUGAUCCAAGGGCCCAUAUUCACUUGGAGGGACUAUAAAACCAGACCCCCUGGCCCCUGGAGGAGAGAGCCUCUCAACCCUAAUUCAUUGUUCCAUCAAGGGAGAAGAAGCCUCUGAUCAAGAUUAGAGCCACCACAUCAAUUAGACAUCUAGAUUAGCAUAGCUACAUAGGAUUAGAACUAGAAGGAGUCAAUCUUCGAUUGGUUUCCGGAUCUGUCAGGAGGAUUCUUGGUAAUUCUCUAAUUGUGCUUCUAAUUGCUUUCUAAUUAUCUUUGUUCUUCAAUAUUAUGAAUAUGACUUUGUUAUACUUUAAUAUAUUGCUUAUGACUUUGCUCUACUUGCUUAUAUUCAAGAUUAUAUUGUUCUUAGUUUAUCAUAGUUAUGUACUUGGCUUAGUUAGAUUCGAUCUAUAUACAUGCUUAGGAUCGUAUAGCGUUUAUCCAUCGGAUCCAUGGGUAAAUGAUAGAUAUUGUGUAGGCGUGGUGCUUAUACCAUAUUUAUCUGCGAUUGUACCCAAUAUGCCAGAUCGUGGGGUGGUUCGUGAUAGUGACAACUUCAUUGAUUCUUAUAUAGUCCCCCUCUCGUGUAUUGGGCUGGCAGAGCAACAUUAUUACAGGGGAGUGAUUGCUAUGUUUCUCAUAUUCCUUGCUAAUAUCACUAUGCAUGGGCGUAGUCUUGUCUCACAAUGAUUGCUAAGUAUGCUUGCACUAACUAUGAUAAUGCUAGACUAUAUAGUUAAGAAUAACUUAGGGAAUAUUCUUGUAGUUCGUUCUAAUACCAUGCUAAUGACUCUCUAGAGUAUCUAAUUGAGGUGCUUAUCAUAUUUAUUAUGUGGCUAGAUCAGAUUAGUUAUCCUUGUCACUAUUAUUAUUUCAUAUAUCUUUUAUGUGACACUUAUCCCUGUAUGAUGAGUUAGAUAUAAUGUUCUCAAUUAUACAUGCAAUGAUAGAUGCUCAAUCUCAUAUUCUAUUCUGUAAUCAAUAGUGAUGAUUGCUACUCCCUUCCCAGUGGUAAAAAUAUAAAUAACGAUACCUGGAAUACUUCCCGGUUAAAAUGCUGCAUCGGUAUUAAUCUGUGCGCUUGCAGAUCCCAUUCAUUAUUUAUUUAGAAGAGCAAUUGCAUAUUUCCAUACCACGUCUCUUAUAUCAUGAUGGGGAUGACAACUUGGCUUAAGUGGUGUGAGGGAUAGGUUUGGCAUUUUUGGCACCCUUACUAGAUUUAGAGAACUUAGUCUACUUUUGGUAAUGAUGUUAAGAAUACCCAACAAUCAUACUCACCCAUAAGCAUCAUACCAUGAUCACAUGUCAUUUUGUGUGUACCCUAUUUGAGUUGAUUGCUUAUAUUGCUUGUUAUGUGUAUAAGUAAUGUAUGACCAAUGUAUACAAGUGCACAUUGUCUUCCAAAAAUACUUUAUUCAUGCUUAGAAUAUCAUUUGGAACAAUGUUCAUGUUGGAGGUUUCUACCAAAAAUGCCCCUAAGUCAUGGUUAACCCUAGGUUGACCUAGUUUGACCCACAAAUCUCUUUUCAAAGGUCCUUUAUGAAAACAGUGUUAGAGACCUUGCAUGUAAAUGGCAUCUAAAGCAAAGUUGUAGUAAAUGUUAUAAGCUACAAAAGUUGUUUUGAUACAUUUUCAUGAAAAUGCUUGGAACAUACGCAAACUUUUCUCACAAGGCAAAAAUAGGGUCUGCUUUUCCACUUAGCCAAAUUUGCCUAAGUUAGAAUCGACAUAGUUUCAAGGUAGGUCUCUUGGGAGCCUUGUAGUUUGAAUUCUAGACCAAACCAGACCUUGAUGCUUAAAGCAAACAUGUAGAACUCGUGUAGCUCUAUCCAUUGGGACAAAUAUGAGCAAAAACCACCAAGUGAAUCGUGAGUAAAACGUCGAUGAAGAUCGGGUUUCAGUCGGCCAUUGGAGCCCUGAUCAACGUGAUUCGGUUUGGACAGAGCGUCGCCCGCCGCCACGUGUUGAGCUAGCUGUCGGCCGUACGUCGCUGACGGUCCCUCCUGUCAGCCCCAACGACGUCCUCAAGUUGCCAUGCACCCCCUAAAUGCCUCAGACGCACCCUUCGUCCACCCAGCGCACCCUAUUUCCCUCCGCCAUCGUCCUCGGCGAGCUCCGACGCGUUUCGGGGAGCUUCCCCGCCCACACCACCGCGUCCCAACUCGAGCUGCUCGGUUCAGAGCUCCACCAUGACGUCAUCUACCUCGUCGUCCACUCCAUUGCCACAACUGAGCUCAGGUGAGGCGGCAUUGCCGAGCCCCGCACGGUUUCCACCUCGUCGGAGUUCGCAGAGAUCACCAGCAACGUGGCUAGACCUCUCUGGUCCACCUCUAGCCGUGAUUCUUAUUCCUACAACUUUCUCUUGCUUCACUCUUGCUCGUCGUGAACCGCUACUGGGUCGCCAUGGCCCAUGUUCGCCGGCGUAUCACCACGCAGCACCGCCGCUCCGCCAUUCCCGAUGGCGAGCACCCUAUGAGCCAGUAGAGCGCGAGCCAAGUAGGUCAAUAGGUCCGCCUCGAAGUGAGGAACACGACAGUGCCCUCGGUUUCCCCAGAGACCUCGCCGUCGUUGAGAUCUUCGGCGACCGAGCUCGCCUCUGUCCUUUGUGUUACUGACGUGUGGGACCCUUCUGUCAGCCUCUCUCCCUCUCUCCCCCUAUUUCUGUUUUUGGCAGAUUUCAAUGCUAUGCUGUAAAAAUCAUAUCUCGAGUUUGGCAAGUCCAAUUUGUAUGUUUCAAAUUUUUUCAUACUCCUGAGUAGAUCUAGUUUUUAAUAAAAAUAUGAGACAUGCCAUGUUUUUGCAGAAAUAAAUAGUUAUGAUUUAUCUCUUUUAAUCCCUAAUAAAAAGAGGGCAAUUAUAUCUGUAGACCUGUAAUCCUAUGACCAUGCAAAUUUAGGAGGUUGUUACUUAUGUCAUGAAUAGGCUUUGAUAAAUUUCUCAUGAUUUUUGGAUGCCUUAUGAUGAAGUUAUAAAUACCCCUUAUUUAAAUAGGAGGUUAUUGUGGUAUUUUGAAUAAAUAGGUUAGAACUCCUUUUGUGAUGAAACUUGCUGGGUGAUGCAAACUCAUGAAGCUAAAGCCAAGAAAAAUCUGAAAUCUGUUAUUUGACACUUUUUGACAGAGUUUCACAUAUAUGCCUUUAAUGCCUUUGGUAGCUUGUCAUUUUUGUGCCCUACAAUCUACAUGCUCAAUGGCCUUGAAAAGUUUACAGUAACCAUGUUGUAGCAUGAGUAGCUUACUGUAAUUUUGCUAGAAUGUUUGGAGCACUGGUACUAUAUGCUCAUUAAUUCACCUUAAUAACCAAAUAAAUAGAAAAGGGGAUAUUCAAAAUAAGUUUUUACCUUGCCAUGAUGUUUUAUAAAGUUUCUUAGACAUGUUCUAACUACUGGUACUUUUGGUUGGACCAAUGUUACUUUCUUACUAUGUGCUAAAAUAUUAUUUUGCUAUUUAUGCCUUGUCUAGAGCAUAUUCUGUGUAGCUGAUAGAAGUUCCUUAAAAACUGCUUGGAGAUGUAGUUUGCUGGGAAACUUAUCUAUAACAAACUUGUAGCUAACUUACUUAUCUACCUUGUAUCCAAUGUUCAUAGCAUCUGGCUGAGUGAUUUAAAAGUUAUGGCUGUUGCAAGUAGCUGCUACGAAGUGAUUGUUCUCUGGAUUUUCCAGAGCAGACCUGAAACUUUGUCUGUUUUGACCUGUUUCUGUUGGGAAUCAUGCUGUGAUAUCUAAAAGUAAAUUGUAGACAAUUUGUUAAGAUUUCCAGAAAGUGCUCACUUACUUAAUUUGACCAAUAGAUGACUAAGUUAUGGCUGAAACUUAUGACCACCCAAUCUGUCCCUCAACCCAGUUGCUGUGUAUAAGUAGUUAAGGUUGAAUAGCUUGUAUUGUUAGCCUCUCUACCGGAUAAGAAGUAUGCACUUACCUAUUAAUCUGUUGCUUACUCAAUUUUAGAAGCUUGUGAUCAUGUUUGCACCGUGUUACCUGUUUCUUUGCUCUUCAUCAUGACAUAUUGCAUCCUAUGUGCAUUCCCUAUGUUUAUCACCUUGUCAUGCAUACUUAGGUGCAACCAAAAGCGUGACGGUCUUGGAGUUCGCCCCACCCGAGCCGGAGGAGCAGCAGUCGGAGCAACCUCAAGAGGAAGGAGCUAAGGAGGAGGAUUUGCCGGAGUGCCCUGACCACCGUCCUUCUACGUACAUUGAAGGCAAGCCGCGGAGUAUUAUAAGCAUCCUAUACUAUUUUUGUUAUCAUGCUCAAGAGUCAAUUAACUAUAGUUAUGUAUUGAUGCAUUAAGUGUUAGGUGUUGAUAUGACACCCUUUGAUGAGGACAUCACCACGCUGGAUACGUUGACACCAUCGUCUUUUCCAAGUUGCAAUUCAUCUCCAAUUCAGCUACCACGUCACUCUCGGAUUCAGCGAACACGUCGUCAGUGUUUUGGUCAUAACUUCUUCAUACUACAUCAAAAUAGGGUGAUCUUGGACUCGUUGGAAAGGGGACGACGAUGCCGUCAUUUUGGAUCUGGUCCCAGCUCCAGAUCUUUCAUGGAUUAAUCUUUAUGUCCACGACAAGGUGUUGCGUCACCUAUUUUGGGCCAACUUGGUCAUGUAUCAAAUUUGGGUCUUAAGCCCAUGUUGUGGGUGCCUCCCCCUGGUUGCCUCCAACCCUAGGUCACUUGUCCUUUAUAUUCCAUGCAGCCGCCGCUGUUUAGACUUGGGUUUUGUUUAGAGUUUAGUUUUCCAUCAAGAAACUGAAUGGUUCAUUGUAACUGUGGUGACAAAUCCUUUUACAGUGAUCCAGAGCUCCCGUUCUUGAUCUCCUCCACUGUGUCGAUCAGUCCUUUGGAACCGAGUUCUUGAACCCUCAUUUGAAUAUUCGCGUCAUUCAUAUCUACAAUUUCAGAUUGCAUGUUUAUACUUUCUUGCUUGUGUUCUUUGAUUCACUUGCAGGAACAGCCUUCGUGGCGAGGUCAAUCAAGUUGUGCUUGGUUGAUAACCAACGGAGCAGUGGUGUGAUGGUUGCAGGGUUCGAAUCGUGCUGAUUUGAAGACGGAUCACCAACGUCGAGUUCUCCACAAUCGAAUUUACCAAUUACAUCUCAGAAGAUCGGGCCUGACCCUCAUCAACAGGUAUCAGAUAUCUAUCUCAGGUUUACUGUGAGGUAUAAUCUCAUUUUCCCUAGAUUCAUAUUUGUUCAUUACCUACAAUCCAUAAAUAGCCCAAAAAAAUAGUUUAAUUUUCCACUGUCCUAUCACCCAUUGUGCCUUGCAAUUUCGUUUUCAGAUUUGCUUUGUUGAGUUUGUGUCCGUGGUUGAGUCUAGUUGCUGGUUUUGAUUGUGUUUGUCGUCGUAUUUCAUUUGCACCGAUGUUGUUCUUAGUAUUCGCUGCUAUCGUAUCCACUGUUUCCAAACAACAAGUCGAAGCCACCACAUUACUCGACUUGCCUCCGCUAGCCGCCUUGUGUGAUCCCUCGCCGCUGCUCUAACCCUAUAUAGGUUGCCAGCCGUUGUUAUUUUGCCUGCUUCACAGCCCUCCUUACAUCAUCAGGCGAAUACCUACUGCUAUUAGUGAAAGGAUCAAGAUGUCCAAGAGGGGGGGUGAAUUGGGCUUCUCUAAAAAUUUAAGCAACCUAUAAGCUCCAAUUCAACCCCUUGUGCCUAGUGUGAUCUAGAGAGCUACCGGAUAAAGAGUUUUGCAACCUAGUUUCAAUCCUAUUCUAGCAUGGCAAUUCUAAGAAUGUAAAAGCUCAAAAUAAUUGCACAAAGUAAAUGAUAGAAAGUAACGGAGGAGAGCAAGAAAGGCGCGGCGAUGUUUGCCGAGGUAUCGGAGAGUCGCCACUCCCCACUAGUCCUCGUUGGAGCACCCGCGCAAGGGUCUUGCUCCCCCUUGGUCCGCGCAAGGACCAAGUGCUCUCUAUGGGCUGAUUCUUCGACACUCCGUCGUGGUGAAUCGCCCACAGCCGCUCAUAAGUUUGACACGAGCCACCCACAAGAACUCCAGGCAAUCUUCGUGCCUCUAAUCACCACCGAACCGUCUAGGUGAUGGCGAUCACCAAGAGUAACAAGCAAUGAACUCUCACUUGACCCAAUCAAGGCACUAGAGAGUGGUGGAUGCACACUUGACUCUUGAAACUCAACUAGAGAAGGAUUCAAUCAAGAAAUCUCUCAAUUCUCAAUCCUCUCUAGGCUCUUGCUUCUCUCUUGCACCACAAGGUGAUUCUCAACUGAUCAAAUGGGCAAGAGACCUCCCAUGGACGAGGUGGAGGAGUAUAAAUACUCCCCAUCAAGACCAAGGGCUGGCCAACUAUUUUACACUAAAAACGGGAGCACCGGACACUGGUGAUGUUGCACUGGACGCACUAUACCGAGCGUCCGGUGACCCAUUAACAUCUAACUGUACUCUCUCUGACAGAGCACCGGACGCACCCUCAUUGGGUCCGGUGGCACCGUCCGGUGUGAGGGUGAAUUUACACCCUCCUGGGUAUGGGACCGGACGCUCCCCGACGAGUCCGGUGCUAGCGUCUGGUGCCCUGGUCUACUGUAGACCUCCCUGGGUAUGGGACCGGACGCUCUCAGGUGAGUCCGGUGCGAGCGUCCGGUGCAUAACCCUAGGCACCCAGUUGUUGACGGUCCUUAAGUAUCAAAUUUAAUUAUCAAAUAAACAAAGAAAAGGAUCCAAAUGAAAUCAACAUCUAGACUUAGGGUUUUAUUUGACAGAAUUCCACGAGUUUUGGUGUUUGUCUAUUUCUGCAGGGGGUUAUCAGGAAAUACGGAAGAAAGGCCCACAUGUCGGGAUUACAUAGAGAUAUCAACGCACCGCGUAAUUUUCUAUCAUCUAGAAGACUCCAGAAGCCACGGGAACGAACGAGAAGGCAAACGGGCCCGGGGGCAGGGCGCCCGCCCACCCCCCUUGGCGCCCGCCCAGGUGUUUCCACCAAUCACAGAAUGGAGUCUGCCAUUGCAAAGAUCUCGUCGAGCUGAUCGAAAUGCAUAUAUUAUUUGCUAUAUUUGGAGUUCGGAAUCAAGAGAUAUUAAUAAAAGAAGGACUCCACAUAAAAGAGCUGCGGGAUUAAUUGGGCCCAGAUCAGAUUUUGGUCCAUUAAGGCCUAUGUGCAUUUUAAUGAGAUAGGGUGCAAAGUUUAGUACCACAUCGCCUGCUGAACCAAAAAUGCACAGAGGAGGAGGACUAUAUAAGCAAGGCCCCUGGCCCAUGGAGAAGACAUGAAGAAAUUAUCAUAGAGACUGAGGGGUGCCCUCGAAGGAAAACCUCUUCUCUAAUUAAUAUUUCUUUUAGGCUUAGCAAUCAAUGUAAGGUAGAAAUAGAUCUUCUAGUUUCUACUAGAUUGAGAGAGAUAGAGUGGAGGUGUAGAUUGGAGGAAGCUCGGCCUGUCGGUGUCUACUCCAAGCUUGUACCUGCGGGAUCAAGUUCUCCUAACCCGAAGCUUGCUCCUAGGAUUAUUCAGUAAUUCAACUUCUAAAUUCUAGUAAGUUCUUGUUUUAUUGUUCUUAUGGUUUAUGAGUUUACUUAAUCUCUUCGCGUAGAGUUUAGAGUAAUCAUUGCUGGCGUAAACGUGGUGUUUAGGCUGGGGUACUCAUAGAUAUUCCCUGACUAGCUGGACCGUGGUAGUAGUGAGGAACGUGACAAUUCCGAGUUACCUUUGCAGAUCACAUCUCGUUAGCAGGAAGGAUAGGGUUUAUAGGUGCGGGUUGAACAUCCUUUGUGGUGUCUAGAUUCCGUUAGCCUCCCCAUUAGAACAGUAGAUCAUCCUUACCAAGGUUAGAAGGAGACUACGGUUGCAGUCUUCUCUAUUUAUCACUCACAUCGAAAGACAUUCUUUGUGCCUAAAGGGAUAGUAGCAAUAGAUUUAGUUAGUCAGAUGCACCCUUUCUCCCAGUGGUAAAAAUAUAAAUACGAUACUCUGGAAAACCUCCCGGGUGAAAUGCUCACCGAUAUCCGUGCGCUUGCGGAUCAUUUCCUUAUUGCGUUACCAAAUAUCAACAAGCAUUUCUGGCGCCGUUGCCGGGGAGAAAGACGGUUUGCUGAGAUAACUUUGAGUCUUGCUAUUAUCUUGUAUUAUACUUUUAUACUUUUAUUCUUUUAUCUUUUUAUUUUUAUCUUUAUGGAUAACUCAAAUUCCAUACCUAUUAUUGAAUUCUUUGCACCUUCGGAGACCAGCCAUAGACCAUGGGAGUCAACACGUCCUGCCCCUAAUUAUGAUCUGUGUCCGGAGUUGAUUGCAAUAGGUCAAAACCAACCCUUUUCUAUAGCCGAGGUCCUAUCUUUUAAUCAAGAAGAUAAUGCACUUUUAGCUACACAUAGGGAAUCUUUUAAUCCUUCUAUAAAUUAUGGUUCAGACCUAGCCCUACAAGACCAUGUUUUUCCUAAAUAUUUUCACAUUGGUCUUAAUCAUAUAACCUUUGGUAGAGUCUUUCUUUCUUUAUCUAUUAGUAAAGGAAGGUAUGUCUUCAAUCGUAGACAUCCUUCUUGCACUAGUCUUCAUAGAAAAAUCUUAGAGAUAGAGAAGGAAUCAUCUCCCAUACAAGGAGAGGAAGUUUUAAUAGCCGAUUUCCAAACAUUUCAAUCCCAUAAUUCGGCUAUCCAACCCAUCCUUGAGUUUAAUAAUUUCUACUAUGCCCUUUCUCUUGAACCUCCCGAUAAUCCUAUGAAUCUCUCUAGACAUCCCAUGCAUAAGAAGGAGGAUCGAGAAGAACAACAUCAAUGGCUAGAGGGCAUUAAAAAUCCAUGUGCUAUCACCAUUGAAUGGAUAGAUAAAACAAACUUAAGAGACAAUCCUAGAGGAAUUUUAAGCAUUCAUGAAGAAUCAUCCUUGGAGUUUGAGAAUGAGAGAAACAACAGUGAACAUGGAAGUUAUUUCAUAAAUACCUUACCAAGUCCUUGCUCAUAUAAAACAUCUCCCCAAUCAAUUUGUCUCUCCAUCCUUACCACAUUUGAGAUCUCCAACCCCCUCUUCCUCUUCAUUUAUAAAAACUUUAAAAGGGUGGUUGUCGAUGCAUAUGUCUAUAAUAAAUAUUACAGAUCUCGUUGAGUUCAUCUUGAUAUAGGUAGGUGUUGGAGGGCAAACCACUUCACCAACAUAAAUUGAUGGUUUCCCAAAGCUUAGCGUCCUUGAACAAGCACUUAUCAGAUCGUAACAUGAACUUCUAAUUAUUUCCAACAUUGCCUUGUGUAUUGAGCAUAUAAAGAUAAUUGUAGAAAUAUUCCUUCGUGUAUUCUUGCCACUAACCUUUCCAGGAUUGGAGCAAGAAGAUCGGAUGAAUGACAAGCACAAGGUAUGUCCAACCAACCAUCACACAACAUUGAAUUAAAUUCAUCCAAACUUGAAUUUUCCAAAAUUCAAGCUUGGGGGAGUACUUUACAAAAACAUCAUUUGCCAUGUUGCUAUGUUGGUUGUCCUUACCUUUGAGACAUGCUCAAUUUGUUAAAUACUAAUUACACUACUUCAUCUCCACUUAAGUAGAUCUCUAUAAAUGCUCUCAUGCUACCUUUAUUUGCUUUAGUAUAUGUCUAGGUUUGGAAUAGUUUCAUUUAUCUCUUAAUUAAGCAUGGUGCUUAGUUUAGGAAUGAUGAUCUUACUUCCAAGGGAUUUUAAAUUAAGCAUGGUGCUUAGGUUAAAAUGCCCUUCUAAAUCAAAUUAGACAUGGUGUCUAGGUUGAUUUUUAAGUCGAUAGUAUGCUAUAGUAGAUAUGGGAUAUUUUGUUGGACUAACCCCUGCAAGAAAACUUUCAAUAUCAACCUGGGAAGUCCUGAGAUAAACUCGCAUUGGAGAUGAAGAAGGUGACACAUGAAGUUUAACAAUUUGCACAAGAAAGACGUGGCUCAUAAGAGAUGAUUCAUGGAGGGUGCCACAAACACGAUGCACAACCGCUAAGAAAGGAAAGCUUCCACAAGGUGAUACUGUACCGUCACUCUUCAAGUAAGGUAACACCUUAAGGUACUUGACUAUCGCUUUUAUAAGCUUCUCCUUGGUUCUAGCAUUCACAUAAAUGAAGAGACAAACAUGUAUGAUUUAUAACUCUAGAUUAACCAACUCAAUUAAUUCAACAUGUUUAGUCCUUUAAUCUUUGUUCUUAGUACUACCUUCGUGAUCCCACGCUCCUAAACAUAUAAGCUAAUAUUUUGCACAUUCAAUAUUUGGAAGAUAUAAACAAAACAUAAAUAUAGAUAGAUUAUCUUUCCAUUAGGUUGAGCCAUCUGAUCUGACAAAUGUUUCAAAUACUACACUCAUGAUCUUAUUAUCCAUCAACUUUGUCUUGCUCACUAUGCUUAAGGUUAGAGAAGAACAAAUACACUUUUGGUUCUGUUGGUAUUUUCCACCAACAGAGCCCAUGCACUUGAUCUCUGCCUUGUCUCUAUGAACAGGUACACUUCAAGCAAAACAUGGAGGAGUUUUACAACUCCCAGACUCCACCAAGUGAAGGACCUGGAUCUAUGAGCACAAACACACUGAGCAGGAUAUUGCCAACACCAUACUUCAAAAUGCUGGGCAAAGAAGAACAUGGGUGACACCAUAUCAAGAGGUGCAGACGUCAAGGUCCACACCUAAUCAAUUGAUGCACCUAAAGGAUGAACAUGGUGGAAAGUCUUGUCCAGAAGACUUAAAACAUUGGAUCCUUGUCGGGAGAGGUCAACAUUGUCGACUCAAGUCACCUUUCUUGAUCAAGAAGGACGACCCUGGUGUUCCAAGCAUCAAGUGCGCAAUCAAUGGAUACUCUUUUCAGAAGACACUCUACGACACCGGAUCUGACGACAACAUAAUGACCGCAGUCACUUAUCAGCUCCUGCAUGGAACCAUGCCCCUACAACCAAUAUACAUUCAGCUCUAGAUGAUUUUCAGGUCAUUAACAUGGGAGAAGACGAGUAUGAUCCACCCACCAUCCUUGGAAGACCGUUCCUCAAACACUAUCAAAGCCAUCAUCUAUAGUGGAACCAGAGAAGUCCACAUGCACUUCCCCUCUGAGAAGGUACGCCACUACUUUAAUGAUUCUAACUAUAUAGUUGAAGACUCUAAGCAGGUCAGGACAAGAAGACGAUGCAACCGCAACCAGAGGAGGCAAAUCAUCAAGAACGGAUGGGUAGACUACGAAGGAGAAGUGAUAAGGUCUGAAGACAUACAAUUUAACAGAACCGUCCUGAGGAGACCGUAGCACCGAGUCAGAAAGAGAAGAUAGUUAUACACGAAGAGAGGCGCCGCCGAAAUCACCGACUUCGCCACCUAGCGAAUCCCAGGACGACUGAGAAAACAGAGAGUCCCGUUCGGAGGACAUAAAAAUGCCGAACGCCUUGCCAAGAGGUAAACUUGGUAGUUACCCUUUCCUUUCAAUUAUUCAAUUAUAAUUUGCUUAGUUAAUCAGGUUCAUGCUAUCUUGAAAAGAAAAUAAAAAUGUUAAGUAGUAAGCCCCAUGUGAGUAUGCUCAUGGCAUAAAACUCAUAAGUACAUUCACUGUGGUGGCAUAAACAUAAAAUAAAUAUGUUUUCAUCUUACAAUAAAAAUAUAAAAAUAAUAAGUGUAUGAUCCUGCUAAAUAAAUAACAUUUAUUAAGGAAGCUCAACAUGAUGAAGGCUAGAUAUUUAUGCUAACACUUAAUUAGUUCCACAAGCUUUGUUGUCUAUUUGAGCUCCACAGAAUUUAAGAAUCAAGAAGACUAGCAGACGGAGGACAUUCUAAUCGCUGUCAGAAUGCUGCUGACUUUCAAAUACACCUCUGCCACCUGCUAGCUACAUCAAGAGAAAUUACGUCAAAAUUCAGCUUGGGGGAGAGCACCCCCAUAUAUCUCGCUAAGUAUUUCUACCUAUCUUUAUACUUAUAUUAUGUUAGAAUAUUAAAAUACAUAAACUAUGAAAAACUAAAUAAAGAUUUUGUGCUUAUAUAUAUCUUUUGCUUAGUAUGUUUAAUAAAUAAAUAAAGUGGCUAUGCUAGUCUGAAUCUUAAUAAUAAAACUCUAGCAUGGAUAUGAUGAAUAGUUGCUCUGCCUAAUUUGCAAUUUUGAAGUUCUCUCUCAAGUUUAGACAUAACUGUUAUAAUUUAAAGCUUGCUCUAGAUCUAAACUUGUGGGAUGAAAACUUGAUCUGAAAUCUAAGUUGUUAACGGAUAUGAUAUGGGAAGGUUGAGCUGCUGUUUAUCUGUUCCUAGAGAUGCUAAAAUUCUGGAAAAUUUUAUCUUGAAAAAUCUUUAAAAUAUUGCAUGAUGAGUUCCUGUAUGAUGAGAGUUUAAAUUCCUACCACAGCCAUAUAUACAUGCUUGCUAGACUUUGAGCCACACAUUUACUAUUUACUGCUUAUGAGCGUUGAGUGUGGUCAAGCUGUGUGGACCCUUAGGAGCUUGUCAUGUGGUUAAAUCAAGAUUCACUUGCACGUUCACUCAUAUAUGCUACUUCUACUCUGGAAGUACCAUCCACAUAUAUCCAUCCAUUUCCAUCUCCAGAAUCACCCAAAAAUAUUCUACUCUUAAUCCGGGAGAGAAUAGUCAAAAAUAUUUUCCUAUCCCUGUUAUUCCCUGUGAAAUAAAUGCUCCAAAUAUUUUGGUUACUACCACUUGCUAUUUUAUCUCAAGAGAUGAGUGCUCUGAAAAAAAAGAGAGAAAGAAAAGAGAAGAAAAAAAAAUAUAAACGAGGAAAUAAAAAGGGGCAAGUGCCCGGAACCUCGAAAGAAAGAAAAAGUGAGACGAGAGGUAAAAAUGGACAAGUGUCCGACAGUAGAAUUAGGGGUACAAGAUACCCACCUGAGAGGAAAGAAAAAGAAGAGCAUCUCAUUCUACUCAUAAAGUUUCAAAAAGCAAGGAAGGUAUGUAUCCCCUCAAAAGAGCAAAAGUAGAAUUAGACUUUCACCAUUGUUAUUACCAUCAUCACCAUACACCAUUCAUUCGCCACACAUGCAGAUCUUGAUUUGACUUAUUGAUUUGUUUCUCUGGAUCCAUGGCUUGACUAUGCAAUAAAUGUCUUGUAAGUAUGUAUUAGCUGUCUCCCACCUAUGAGCUCCAGAUAUCAAGCCUUAUUAGAGUAGGGUGAGAGAGAAGGCAAUGUCCCUAUGCCUUAUACCAUAAAUACCACAUAUCUUGAGAGAAGGCAUAUAUCAUCAAUGCCUUGGUAAGGAUCCAGAAAUACCACAAAAGAGAGAUAUGAGAGAGUCAUACAAGGAAUCUCUGAGUUUUAUUUGAAAAUCUGCAAAAAAAAAACUCCAGAGCUAUAGCUGAUCAAGAAUAAGAGACAUGGCACUUGGCUAGACUGUUCUAUCUUUUAACUACUCAAGACAAAAGUGACGGUUACAAGUCCCAUGGUGGAAGGUAAAGUAAGUAAGUUUUAGUUCUUGACAGUUUACUCUAACUCAGAGAUGAGAUUUUAUUUAAAAGCAUGUGUACUGUCAAAUUUUUAAGAUAAUGCAACAACUUCUAAUCCAUUGCUGAGUCUAUCCUUGCUUAGGGACGAGCAAGAGGUAAGCUUGGGGGAGUUUGUUGACGGUCCUUAAGUAUCAAAUUUAAUUAUCAAAUAAACAAAGAAAAGGAUCCAAACGAAAUCACCAUCUAGACUUAGGGUUUUAUUUGACAGAAUUCCACGAGUUUUGGUGUUUGUCUAUUUCUGCAGGGGGUUAUCAGGAAAUACAGAAGAAAGGCCCACAUGUCGGGAUUACAUAGAGAUAUCAACGCACCGCAUAAUUUUCUAUCAUCUAGAAGACUCCAGAAGCCACGGGAACGAACGAGAACGAGAACGCCCGCCCAGGUGUUUCCACCAUUCACAGAAUGGAGUCCGCCAUUGCAAAGAUCUCGUCGAGUUGAUCGAAAUGCAUAUAUUAUUUGCUAUAUUUGGAGUGCGGAAUCAAGAGAUAUUAAUAAAAGAAGGACUCCACAUAAAAGAGCUGCGGGAUUAAUUGGGCCCAAAUCAGAUUUUGGUCCAUUAAGGCCUAUGUGCAUUUUAAUGAGAUAGUGUGCAAAGUUUAGUACCACAUCGCCUGCUGAACCAAAAACGCACAGAGGAGGAGGACUAUAUAAGCAAGGCCCCUGGCCCCUGGAGAAGACAAGAAGAAAUUAUCAUAGAGACUGAGGGGUGCCCUCGAAGGAAAAUCUCUUCUCUAAUUAAUAUUUCUUUUAGGCUUAGCAAUCAAUGUAAGGUAGAAAUAGAUCUUCUAGUUUCUACUAGAUUGAGAGAGAUAGAGUGGAGGUGUAGAUUGGAGGAAGCCUGGCCUGUCGGUGUCUACUCCAAGCUUGUACCUGCGGGAUCAAGUUCUCCUAACCAGAAGCUUGCUCCUAGGAUUCUUCAGUAAUUCGACUUCUAAAUUCUAGUAAGUUUUUGUUUUAUUGUUCUUAUGAUUUAUGAGUUUACUUUAAUCUCUUCGCGUAGAGUUUAGUGUAAUCAUUGCUCGCGUAAACGUGGUGUUUAGGCUAGGGUACUCAUAGAUAUUCCCUAACUAGCUGGACCGUGGUAGUAGUGAGGAACGUGACAAUUCCGAGUUACCUUUGCAGAUCACAUCUCGUUAGCAGGAAGGAUAGGGUUUAUAGGUGCGGGUUGAACAUCCUUUGUGGUGUCUAGAUUCCGUUAGCCUCCCCAUUAGAACAGUAGAUCAUCCUUACCAAGGUUAGAAGGAGACUACGGUUGCAGUCUUCUCUAUUUAUCACUCACAUCGAAAGACAUUCUUUGUGCCUAAAGGGAUAGUAGCAAUAGAUUUGGUUAGUCAGAUGCACCCUUUCUCCCAGUGGUAAAAAUAUAAAUACGAUACUCUAGAAAACCUCCCGGGUGAAAUGCCCACCGAUAUCCGUGCGCUUGCGGAUCAUUUCCUUAUUGCGUUACCAAAUAUCAACACCAGUCACUCUAACUCGAGUCAACCUCACCGGACGCACUCACAUAGCGUCCGGUGCCUACUUAGGCACCCAAACUUCAUCGAAACACGAUCUUUCCAAAACAAAGUUUGUUCCUCUCAAUCUAAGGACUUUUUUAGAGCUGCCUAGUGCUAGGUUUACCAAGUGUGCACCACACCGAAACCUAAAGCCUUGCCUAGGUCAAGGUACCCAUUCAAUGCCACUCUUAAUAGUACGGUCAAAGGAAAAAUAAAGUCCUAACCUACUCUAAGUGCCCUUCUUCACUAUAUGGCACUUAGACCUAGUCUAGUCCCGACGAUGUCCAACCAUCCUUUGAAAACCAAAAUGAUUUCCACUAUUAAGUAGGCAUGAACCUUCUAGUCCAUCGAUCUCCAUUACCAUGACCUAACACUAAUGACUUUGCCUCUGCAAAACACACGUAGUCAUAGUAAUCAACAUUGUCAUUAAUCACCAAAACACAUUAGGGGCCUAGAUGCUUUUCAAUCUCCCCCUUUUUGGUGAUUGAUGACAAUGACCUCGAGUAUGAAAGAAGUGAGGUUUUUAAAUGACUUUGUUUCUAUAAUCAUGAGACAAUAAGAACACAAAGAGCUUAAGCAUGCUUAUAUCAACCAAGUCUAACAUCCUACAUCCAAAUAUGUGUAUACGACAGGAUAUAACAACAGAUGGUUCAUAACAAAUCAGAGUAAAAGGUGGAAUCAAAGUAAUAUGAGCCAAGAACAUGACAUAAAUAUAUCACAAUCAAGCACAUGUCAUGUCUCACAACCAAAAAAGUGUAUCUCACAAAGUAUCUCACAAACAUGCAUGAAAAGUAAAAAUGAUGCAUGAUGAAGCACACAAAAUAAUCAAAGCGCACUCACUAGCUACCCCUAUCUCUAUCAUACUCUACUCUCUCUCCCCCUUUGGCAUCAAGCGCCAAAAACCUAAGACGAAGAAGGUGGAGGCAGAGCAGAGGAGUCCCAAGGCACUGCCUGAAACUAGGUUGCAUCAUCAUCCGUGCCAUAUGCCGUAGACUCUGAGGAGGCGGAUUGACCCUCUGAAGCUGGACGUGCUGGAGUAGCAGUCUGGGUCUGCUCUGUGGGCUCUGUGACUGUCUAAGUUUGUGCUGGAGUCUCAAGACAGGCUAGAGAUGCUGACACUGACUCGGUAGCAGUCGCUGAGCUCUCUAGAACAGUAGACAAUGGUGCUAGCUACUCAGACGACGCUACGGACGACAACAAGCACUCGGUAGUGGUGACCGGCAAAGUGAAAGCUAUAGGAGCCUAUAGUGGAGGUGGAGUCGGCUGACGAGUUAGAGCACUAUACAAGAACGAGACGUCCUGUUCAGCUGAGGAAUCCAACACAAGCUGUGAGGCUGUAGCUGACUGAGGUGUGAAACUGUUGACUGUGGAUAUACCAUAGAAAUCCACAUACAAAACACCGUCAACAUGCCUCGGUUGCAAGGGGAAACGACAUGACAUGAACAUAUUUUAUCCAUAACUAGUUCCACUUGUACUCUUAGCUUGUUUAUGCAGGAACAACAAAUUCAAGACAUUAUUUGACAAAGCCAACAUCAGAAUCAUCAAGAGGAGAUCGAGGGGACAACAGGUGACACCCUGGGCCCACAGGGAGGGGGUCGCCCGACCCCUCUUUGGUGGGACCCAGGUGUGCCACCUAGUCCACCGACAUAAGGGACCCCUGUGGAUACUGCUGGUGGGCCCAGAGGCCCAGAAGUGGGGUCGCCCGACCCCACAUCAAAGGCGGUUCCAGGGUCGGUGGCCUCCCACCGACCUUCCCCACAUGUCCCACAUGUCGAUUUGCCCCUGCCGUUGAUCAAAUGGCGGUUGUGAGGUCGGUUUGAUCCAAGGGUGGAGAGAAGAUGUCACGCGGAUCGAUGACGUGGCGAUGGAGUAACCCCUACUCCAUCUCCCUCUAUAAAAGGCAGCCUCCAUCCUUCAUUUCAAGUGUGCAAUUCCAAGGCCAAGUGCAUUACAAGUUCCAAGCAUACAAGUAGAGUAGUAGUUAGUCUAGAGUGGGAGUUAGAGUCGAGUCGAGCUAAGCUCGUGGUCUCCGGAGUCGUCUUCUGGAGAGUCUGGUAUAGCUCUUGUACCUUUUCUACUUUUGUAAGACUUUCCUUUUAUUAAUAUAUUAUUCUUACUUUACUUUACUGAGUUCUUACUUAGUGCAAGUCUUUUAGUCUUGUUGUGCAUUUACUUUAGUAAUAUAGUUGUCUUAGUGAAGUUAGUGACCUGUAACCACUCCUGUGUGUGCAUCAUCGUCCUAUCUUGUAUAGGAGCUCUAGCUAGCUGCAACUAGUUAGCGUGGUAGGAUUAAGUGUGAGCGUGGUGCUCAUACUUAAGAUUACCUUUGAUUACCGCUGGCUUGAACGGAAAGUAGGAGCGCACUCCCUAGUAGGUGACAGAUCGUGGGCGGCAUUAGGUUCUCCUCACGUACAGGCUAGUUCUUAAAAGGUAAGGCGUCCAUAAGCCCAAUAGUCGCUUUCGGUAAGGGGUUAGGUGAAAAACCUUCUAAGCGUCUUACCAGCUCGGCUAUCCCUCGCACACAGUUAGUAAGGCUCUAGCGUAGUUAAGGCAAUUAUCUAUUAAAGUAAGUCACAGAAGUCAAGUCAGAUACAUAGGAGUCCUUUACUCACUCGUUGUCCUCCCACCUAGCUAACUCUACCAUUUACCUUUAGCAUAGGACCUUGGAUUCACCACUACCCUUCCUAUUCGUUAUUUACCACCCUUAUUCACUAGUUGAUACUAGAUAACUCAAGGAAUCUCAUUCCCCUUUUUGUUAAACACACUUAGCCGCUUUCCCUUGGGAAAAUAUAAAUUACGAUACCUUGGAAUACUCCUUGGUGAAGUGCUACAGCGGUACAUUGUGUGCGCUUGCGGAAUUAUCCAAUAGUAAAUAGAGUUACCCUACCAGGGCACUUCUGGCGCCGUCGCCGAUAUCCGGUGGUUGCGUUAAGAAGUGUCAACAAGCAUUUCUGGCGCCGUUGCCGGGGAGAGCGUCUGUCUAAGAGUUUUAACAAAAAGAGAAUCCAGAGUUUGCUAGUUAUCAAGUAGUGAUAGGGAUAACCCAUCACUUGUCUUGUCUUCCUUUAUUGUGAAGCCUCACAGUGUAUGAGCGGUUUCCAAUUGCCGUCAAACUUCGUUGAAGAUCCUGAGCAACUGUUGAGGAGAACUAGACGUCGUCAAGUUCCACCUCAAAGGUUCAUCUCGAACCUGAAUCCGUUAGAGGAAGGAGUAUCUGCACCGGUUAUCAAAGAAGCUAUGGCCCAGAAGACCAUCUCUGAGUACUCUACGCCGUCGGCUGACAAUGUCGCCACGGGUCCGCAGCUUAACUUGGGGGAUGCGACUUUUGAGUUGAAGCCUGCGCUUAUCAAUAUGGUGCAAGCUAAUCCCUUCUGUGGAAAGCCACACGAGGAUGCCAAUGCCCAUCUCCAACACUUCUUGGAGGUGUGCGGCACCUUCACCAUCAAGAAUGUCGCCGCAGACGCCAUCCGUCUUCGCCUCUUCCCAUUCUCGUUAUUGGGGGAAGGCGAAGCAAUGGUUCUACGCCAACAAGGGUGAAGUGACCACGUGGGAGAGGUGCGCCAAUGCAUUUCUCAAGAAGUUCUUUCCGAUGGGCAAGACCAGCGCCCUUCGUGGAAAGAUUUCCAGCUUCCAAUAGCAAGCAGAUGAGACGAUUCCCGAAGCAUGGGAACGUCUGCAGGAGUACAUUCGCGCCUGUCCUCAUCAUGGGAUAGAGGAGUGGCUCCUAAUCCAAGGUUUCUACCAUGGCCUGACCGGUUUGGCCCGUAGUCACCUUGAUGCUGCCGCUGGAGGAGCAUUCUUGCAACACAAUGUCAAGGAUGCCAAGGACCUCAUUGAAAAGAUGGUUAUAAACCAAGGAUGGAAUGAGGAACGCCUCCAACCCAAGAGAAGAGGUGUCCAUGCCUUGAAUGAGGUGGACAUGCUCUCUGCUAAGAUGGACCUCUUAAUGAAGAAGAUGGAAGAAAGUUCCAAGCAAGAGACCAUUCAACCUUACGCCACUGCACGGGCUAUUGAAUCUGAUUCAUAGUGCGAAGUGUGCGGAGGAGAUGAUCAUUCGGGAAACAAUUGUCCCGAAGCAAAGGAGGAAGUGAGCUUCAUCAACAACAACAACAAUGGGUACCGGCCCCAACAACAGCAAUGGAACUCGCGCCCCUUCUACCAAGGUAAUCAAGGUAAUGGUUACAAUCAAAAUUUCAAUAAUUCUUUUGGUAACCAACCUUCUCUUAGAGAUCUUGUCUUAGGCCAAUCCAAAAUCAAUGAUAGCAAUAACAAGAAAAUGAUGGCUAAUGAUAAGAUCCUUGAAAACUUAAGUGAAAAGUUGGAUAGCUUUAACUCUGCUAUGAAAAAUCAGUUGAGCUUUAACAAAAUGCUAGAAACACAAUUAGCUCAAUUAGCAGCAGCUGUCCCAUCCUUCGAGCAAGGUAAGAUCCCAGGGAAACCUGAGGACCCAAUUGAAGGAGUUAAACUAGUUACUACGAGGUUCGGUAAGCCUCCGGUACAAUCCAACUGGAGCUAUCUUCUGGAUUCGCCCUUCAUCACCAAGAAGGACGACCCAGGCCUGCCGACCAUCACCUGUGAGAUCGGACCACAAAUCUUCCACAACGCCUUCUGCGACCUUGGAUCGGGUGUCAACAUCAUGGCCAAGGUAACUUAUGAUAAUUUGCUAGGGGGGCCUUUGCACCCCACAUUUGUUCGUUUGCAGAUGGCAGAUCAGACGAUCAGGUUCCCUGAGGGGUUGGCAAGGGACAUACUGGUAAAAGUUAAAGACGACUACGUCCCUGCCGACUUCAUCAUUCUAGAUAUGGGAUCCAAUAAUGAUGUCUCGAUCAUCUUGGGAAGGCCAUUCCUCAACACGGUCAAUGCAGUCAUCUAUGUGGGGUCCGGCCAGAUUCACCUCCAAUUCCAGGAUGGAAGGUAAAAUGUCCAUUCAAUGGUUAUAAAGCUAACAUGCAGGUGAAGGACAAAGAACCUCCGACUAAGCCUCGCCACAUCCGACGCCGAAGGGACAAGAGAGGUAAGUCGGCCAAAAGGGCCGAAAAGAAAGAAGAGGAACCCGCUGAACCAAAAAUCAAUACAAAGCAAGUAUGGCGGGAGAAAGAGGUGCGAUCAAGGUCCACGUCUCCGGGACCAUCUGAUGCACCCGAAGAAUGAACAAGAUGGAGAGGUCCUGCUCUACGGACCUAAAACGUGGAGCCCUUGCUGAUAAGGUAAAUCAGUAGUUAUCCCAUAUUUAUUUUCUGCAUUUCAAUUUCUACUAUUCACUUUUCAAUUGCAUUCUUACUUUGAAUUUUGCAUAUCUUAUUUCGACAAAAUGUUUAGCCAUAAUAAAUAAAAUCUUGAGAAUAACUUGUCAUAAAAAUUUGAGCUGCUGGAGCUCCCAAAGGGGGGUCGCCCGACCCCACCUUGGGGCCCACUUCACCACAUUUCAACCUUGCUAGUCAUAGAGGUUCCAACCCAGCACUUGGAUGCUCUGGGAGCUCCAAUGUGGGGGUCGGCCGACCCCCAUAUUGGCCCCACUUGCCUCCUGUUGGCCACCAUUUGAAUCACAAUGGAGUCCUAUGCUUGUAACACUAGCUAAAGUUUGAAAAAGAGUGGUCCCUUGAUCCUUUACUUUAGUCAUAAGAUGCUCCUUUCAUCUUUGAUUCUUUUGGGACCACUCCACUAGCUUAAAUUCUGCAAAGUGGUCACCUAGGCAUGCUUGAGUGCUCCCAUGGUCCAUAGGAAUCACUUUAGACAUGUCUCCACUUUUGCCAUUCAUCUUUUACCUUUCACAAAGCACUAAAACAGGGAAUCUCAGAAACAAUUUGAAAACUUUUGGUCCACACCUAGCCUUUACUUUUCCGGACAAUCAAUGACACAAUGUUUAAAGUGGAGGAGGGGCUAGGAUGGGGGUCGGCCGACCCCCAUUUUGGACCAUCUCUGCAAAAUCUUGAAAGCAUGCAGAAUGGUUCCCUGUAUAAAGCUAAAUUCAAAAUCAAAGUGCUUCUAGGGGGGGUCGGCCGACCCCUAUAUUGUGGGUCCACUACUUGCCCUUCUCCCCCUAUAAAUACUACAGCAUUGUGAGCUCAACUCCACACCCAAAACCACCAGAACCAUUUCGAGCUCACAAUCCUUUCUCUUCUCUCUUUGUUACAAGCCAUUUCUCAAGUUUAGUUUAGAAAUAGUCAUCAAAACAAAAACCCAAAAAGAUUCCCCUUGCAUAGUAGUAGUAGUAGGAGCUUGGUUUGCCUCACUUGUGUAGGAGGAUGAAGAAGCAUAUCUUCGGCAAGUUCAAGAAAGCAAAGGGUGAGAGCUCUUCUCAAGGCUCUCACCAUGCUCAUGGAUGAGAGAGCCCGAGAGCGGCCUCAUGUUAAGCCAAGAAGAGUUGCAAAGGUACUACAUCAUCCGAGAGGGUCUCUUCCUACACACUAGCAUCAUCGAUCCGGACCUUUUGGCCCGCACAGGUAUGGAUGUUGAAUUCGAUAAGGUGUUUAGAGCAAUUGGUUGGAGUAGUUUUUGGCAAGUGCCUGAAUUUGGAAAAGAAUUGCUUGCUAAGGAACUUCUAUGCACCCUAAAACUCACAAAUAAUGGAAUAUCUUUUCGCAUGUGUGAGCAAGAACAUCAAUUAAAUUGGAGUUUGCUAAACACUGCUUUAGGGUGUGAACAUGAAUAUGAACUUAAUCUAGAUCAUGCCACUAGAAUGUUUGAUAAAUUUAGAUUCUGGAAAGCAAUUUCUGGCUCUAAUGAUUGUUCAAAUCCUACUCCCAUUGAAAUCCAUAAUCCAACCUUGAGCUUUCUUCACUUCUGGAUCAUGUGCACUCUAUAUCCUGGCAUGGGAACUGAUACUUUAAUCGAUGAUGAACUUAAAAUUCUCUAUGCCAUGGUUAGUAAAAUCAAGGUCUCCCCUGUGAAACUGCUAGUGAACUAUUGGCUUAACUCUAUUGAGUAUGGGAAGCCCAUCUAUUUCACAUCCUUUAUUACUCGAAUAGCCGAUACUUUUGGAUUACUUGAAUCACAUUAUUUUGAAGACAUUGGCUAUGUUAGAGGAGUGGUAGAUGAGAACUUCUUUAUCAAUGCUAACAUGCUCAUAAGAGAUCCAAAUGGUGAACUUAAAAUGAUUUAUCCAGGCUAUACAACCGAAAUUCCUCUCCCAUGUGCGAGGCGCCGGUUGUAUGGGGUCCGCACACUUACCAUUAGACUAGCCCGAGUGGCAAGUCCAGAUGUUGCAGGGACACGCAGGGUGACAAGAAGGAUGAUGCAAGCCGCCCAGAUGGAGCAAGCAGGAUCCUCGCACCGUGACGUUGAAGAGGGCGAUGAAGCGAUGUCAGUGGAUGCUUCAGACUCCAUGGGUCUACCUCCACAACGCACUCCACGCCCAAGGAGACAGGGCUAGGCGUCACCAGCCCACAGGUAUGGACAGUCUCAUUAAUGACAUGGGCGAAUUGCAGAUUGGGCAAGAAGCAACAUUGCAACUGGCGUUACAAAACGGCCAACAUAUCCGACGUGUGCGAGAGGAAGACGCACAACGCUGGGCUGGAUGGUACCAGAAUUUCCCGCCACCACAGUGAGCGAAGAUCUAGCUUGGGGGAGAUCCUCUCCCCCACUAAGGUAAGUAUUCUAUCCUAUUUAUUUUCAUGCAUUUUAUCAUUCUUACUUAAAAAAAAAUAUUUAUUAGCAUUUCCCUUUAGCAUAUAUGCUUCAUGUAUGUUUAUAUCCCUCAUGGAAAUUAUGACUAGUUGCUUGUUAAUGUUUCUCUAGUGCCUAGUAUACAACUUAGUAUUUCUCUAAGUAUGGAUCACUUAGCUCACUUAAACUGCCAUGAACCUAAAAACUUUGUGGGUUGCAAGUGCUAGAACUAAGUCUAAGUUGUUGUGGGACAUGAGAUAGUAAGACAAGAGCUACUAUAAUAUUUUUCUAAGCAUGCAUGAUUAUUAGAGAUUUAUUCUUAAAAUGAUCAAAACCUUAAUUGUUCCUCAAUGGUGAUGAAUUCCUACCACAGCCAUAUCUACUUUACAUAAUUGCAACCUUUCCACAUAAGCUAUUUGCUUUGUGUUGAGUGUCGUCAAGUCUUGUUGACCCUUGUUAAGAGACUUUUCAUGCUCCUAAGAUCAAGAUCACGUACACACCACAUAUAUAUAUGCUGCUUCUACACUGGAAGUACGCAACCACAUGUAUUUCGCAUCCACUAAAUAGGUUGCUCCAAUACUCUAAAUGUUAGAACAUCUCUCUAAGCAUUAUUUGGUAAAUGAGACAUCAAAAGGCUAGGCAAAAUGAAAUAAAAAGAUGGACAUGUGCAAGUCCACAGAAAAAGAAAAUUGAGCACAUGAAAGCUCAUAUAUAUAUAAAAAAAGAAGAAAAAAAUGCUAGCCAUGUCUCAAUACAUAGAGAGUCUAUCAAAUAAAGGAGCAACCUAGUCCACCAUAUAUCACACUUGCACAUCUUGAUCUGGGAGUAUGACACUUCUCUUCAAGGAUCCGAGCUUUGACUUCGCAAUACAUGCAAAGUAAGUAUGCUAUCUCCUUUCAUCCCUACCUUGAACUCCACAUAAGCCUUUUAGAAAUAGGAUGAAAUAGAGAAGGCAACUCUUACCAUAUGCCUUGGUGAGGAAUCAUACACCAUUUGAGUGACAUGAGAGAACCAUAAGAGGAACAUUUAAGCUUUCUUUUGAAAAUAUCACAAAACCUCUGAUAUGAAACUUGCUAAGAAUGAGAAAGUUAGUGCUCAAGUCAAACUGUUCUGUCUCUCAACCACCUAAGACAAAGGAAAAGCCAUAAGCCCCAUAAGGGACUAAGGUAAUAGGGGUAAGUUUACAUAGCUAAAUUUUUCAUGCAAAGAGAAGAACUUUGUUGUACACAUGGUACUCUUGAAAUGUGAACAUAGUAACAAUACCUGAUCCACCGAGGCUAAGUUUCAUUGUUUGCUCGGGACGAGCAAAGGUUAAGCUUGGGGGAUCUUGUUGACGGUGGAUAUACCAUAGAAAUCCACAUACAAAACACCGUCAACAUGCCUCGGUUGCAAGGGGAAACGACAUGACAUGAACAUAUUUUAUCCAUAACUAGUUCCACUUGUACUCUUAGCUUGUUUAUGCAGGAACAACAAAUUCAAGACAUUAUUUGACAAAGCCAACAUCAGAAUCAUCAAGAGGAGAUCGAGGGGACAACAGGUGACACCCUGGGCCCACAGGGAGGGGGUCGCCCGACCCCUCUUUGGUGGGACCCAGGUGUGCCACCUAGUCCACCGACAUAAGGGACCCCUGUGGAUACUGCUGGUGGGCCCAGAGGCCCAGAAGUGGGGUCGCCCGACCCCACAUCAAAGGCGGUUCCAGGGUCGGUGGCCUCCCACCGACCUUCCCCACAUGUCCCACAUGUCGAUUUGCCCCUGCCGUUGAUCAAAUGGCGGUUGUGAGGUCGGUUUGAUCCAAGGGUGGAGAGAAGAUGUCACGCGGAUCGAUGACGUGGCGAUGGAGUAACCCCUACUCCAUCUCCCUCUAUAAAAGGCAGCCUCCAUCCUUCAUUUCAAGUGUGCAAUUCCAAGGCCAAGUGCAUUACAAGUUCCAAGCAUACAAGUAGAGUAGUAGUUAGUCUAGAGUGGGAGUUAGAGUCGAGUCGAGCGAAGCUCGGGGUCUCCGGAGUCGUCUUCUGGAGAGUCUGGUAUAGCUCUUGUACCUUUUCUACUUUUGUAAGACUUUCCUUUUAUUAAUAUAUUAUUCUUACUUUACUUUACUGAGUUCUUACUUAGUGCAAGUCUUUUAGUCUUGUUGUGCAUUUACUUUAGUAAUAUAGUUGUCUUAGUGAAGUUAGUGACCUGUAACCACUCCUGUGUGUGCAUCAUCGUCCUAUCUUGUAUAGGAGCUCUAGCUAGCUGCAACUAGUUAGCGUUGUAGGAUUAAGUGUGAGCGUGGUGCUCAUACUUAAGAUUACCUUUGAUUACCGCUGGCUUGAACGGAAAGUAGGAGCGCACUCCCUAGUAGGUGACAGAUCGUGGGCGGCAUUAGGUUCUCCUCACGUACAGGCUAGUUCUUAAAAGGUAAGGCGUCCAUAAGCCCAAUAGUCGCUUUCGGUAAGGGGUUAGGUGAAAAACCUUCUAAGCGUCUUACCAGCUCGGCUAUCCCUCGCACACAGUUAGUAAGGCUCUAGCGUAGUUAAGGCAAUUAUCUAUUAAAGUAAGUCACAGAAGUUAAGUUAGAUACAUAGGAGUCCUUUACUCACUCGUUGUCCUCCCACCUAGCUAACUCUACCAUUUACCUUUAGCAUAGGACCUUGGAUUCACCACUACCCUUCCUAUUCGUUAUUUACCACCCUUAUUCACUAGUUGAUACUAGACAACUCAAGGAAUCUCAUUCCCCUUUUUGUUAAACACACUUAGCCGCUUUCCCUUGGGAAAAUAUAAAUUACGAUACCUUGGAAUACUCCUUGGUGAAGUGCUACAGCGGUACAUUCUGUGCGCUUGCGGAAUUAUCCAAUAGUAAAUAGAGUUACCCUACCAGGGCACUUCUGGCGCCGUCGCCGAUAUCCGGUGGUUGCGUUAAGAAGUGUCAACAGAAACGUGACCGUAGAGGGGUUAACUGAAGCGUCUGCUCAAAGCUAGAAGAGAUCGCACCCUAGGAAACCUAGUGCUGCGGAGUCGAGAAUGGCUGGCUCUAAGCAGAAAGCUGGAGUGGAGGCUAAGACAGACUCUGAAGCCCACUAGGCUGUAGCACUGGAGUCGGUGGGCGGACAGUGGACGUGCCUAGAAGGUGCACCUGUGGAAGCUGGAUCCCUGUCGCUGCCAGGAGAGCGGCCAUCAUAGUUGUCUGCUGAGCUUGGAAGGCUAACUGCUGCUCCUAAAAGGUUAGAAGCUAUCUUCGGAUCUCAUCCUACCUGGCCUACAUGGCUGCAUUAACUGCAGCCUGCUCUCGGUCUCUCCUUGCCUGCUCCUCAGCUACCCUCUGUUGAUCUGCCCUCAUCUCCUCAAGAAUAGCAAGCAAAGCAGUGUCUGUGGCACUAGAGGAACCUCCUGCCUCGUGGUCGUGCUGCCUCGGAGGAAGAUCUGGAAUGGGAAGAAGAUAGUCAUCAUCUGAGCUGUCACAAGCAAACUCAAUCUUCUCCUCGGCCUCUGCAUCUACAACUGCCACUAUAGCAAUGUCCUACUCCUCCUCUAUCUCUAGGACUCCCCCUGAACUGCGGGUAGCCAUAGGUGAAGGCGGUGGCGCCCUGCCAUGUGGUGCUGGAGGAGGUGCUGGAGCUCGAAGAUCCACAUGUGCUCUCAGCAUCUGGCGGGGGUCAUAGUGGGGGAAGACGGUGACUGUGUAUGUCAGCUCCCUCCAGAUAAGAGGUGGGAGAGGGUCUGCCCUAGCAUGAAGAAUAAGCAUGGUGUUCCAAUGUGCGUAGGGUAGCUGACAACGAUCCCUGAAGCCCACAGCAACAGUGUCCUCUAUCUCUGACACAAUCAAAUCCCACAGAUCAAACGGCCUCUGAGCAAUCAGUUGUGCGAUGAGCCACUAUUGAAUCUUGGUAAAGCCUUCACAGUAACCAGGCCUCGGUAGGAGAGUCUUCCUCAUCACAAAGUCAAGAAUGUGAGAUGGACGGGUAAGACCUCCUACUGACAUGCUGGAACCCUCAUUGAACGGCUGACAAAAACGCGAUGAGAUAAAGUCUACUGGGGCAGCUCACCACCGUGUGGUCGUCGUGGGGGCUCAAAACUGCCAUAGCAAAGCUCAUGUAUCUUGGUGUCAUAUGCUGUCAGCCCCCAAGUCUCUCUAGCCCUCUGUGCUGACACUCUGUAAUAUCUGCCUGCCUGGGUGUAGUGAAUAUAGCUGUGGUUAGGAGCAAUCCAUACUGAAGCAAAGAACUUCCUCACCCACUCCUCGACAUAUGUGUCUAGCAAAGCAAGAAGACCUGGGAGACCUACUAGGUACGUGAAGUACUGCCUGAUGUCCACACCUACCACGUUCCCUAGCACCUUAAGGUCAAGUACCCUAUGCUCCCUGAACUGAGUCUAAAUGUGCACAAAUGCCAUAUACAUAUCCUCCUGAACAACAAUGUAAAACCUGGCAUGUGCCCUUUGAUCUCUCGCUACUGGAAACCAAGUGGAGAAAGGAGAAAACCUCAGCUCCUGGAUCUCACGAGUAGGUGCACGAGUGUAAUCCUUGUGGAUCCUGACUGGAGCUGGGCGUACAGCUGGAGUGCCUUGAGCUUGAGUGGAGCGAGCCAUCGAGGAAGACUGGUGCUGCGUACCAGUCCUAGAAGCUGCCUGAGUACGAGCUCGAGUCGACCUACAGAGGGGCUGCUCCUCCUGCUGUCCCUCUAACUGACCCUCUGCCUGGGCUUCUGCCUCUAUCUCUGGCUGUCCCUCUGUCUCAGUCUCCUCCUGUCCUGGCACUCCGACCACUAGCCUGACUGGACGUCAUCCCAGCAUGAUAUUGCCAGGUGGAGUCUCGUGUCACUGCUCUACCUGAAACACUGCACGCCUCUGGGCUGGCAUGAGGUCAGAUCCAAUCUGCAGAGCACAUGAGUGACCACCUCUCUCUGCUGCCUCUACUGCUACUACAACUGCAUCAGCAAUCUCUGCCUCAUGAUCAUUGGUCUUCCUCUUCUUAGUCAUCGCCUUCUUUCCCUUUCCCUUCUCAGCAGCCAUCAACCGACGGGGUUUGUCAUCUCCCCCAUCACCUCUUGGAGUGCCUGGUGAACCACCGACGUUCUUGCAAUGUGCCACUGCAAGAAACCUCAAACACAAGCAAGCAACUAACACUCAAGAGGCUUGGCCUCAAUCCGUACUCGUGGGCUUGGCCCCGAGUUCAACUGUCACUAACAACUGACAAUCUGAGACCCACGUGAUGCAAGAGAUAGAAUAGGUAGGGUAUAUAAGCACACAAAAUAGCUAGAGACAAGAAAACCCUAAAGAUCGCAUGAAUAAAUGAGAUAAGAGGAAAAACUGCUCACAAUCCUGUGACGAUACGAGCUCUGGAUGAAGGAUCGAGAUCGAAGUCUGCCGGAGAACACGAAUCAAAUCCUUAAGGUGCUACAAGGGUGGAACGAAUAAGAACGUCGUCAGAAACAACAAUCUAAUCCAUUGAAGCAUAAGAUCAAACACCUUGUGGGCAGGGUAUAAGAUGCUUACUCAAAACCCUAGAACCUGAGCGAGAGAACCAAUCCAGGGGCUCGAGGAGGGAGAGGAUGGCUUGGGGAAGAGCUCGGAGAGAUCCUUGGAGAAGCCGCUGGACAGGAGAUCAGAUCGCGGCGCCUCAGAAGAAAAUUGGCGACUAGGGUUAGGGUCUCUGCGGUGGCGAGUCGUGGGAGAGGACAAAAACAAAACUGCCGAACAGACCGAGGGCUCGGGGUUAUAUGCGCUGAUUGCGGGGGCACCAGACGCACUUAAGUGGUCAUCGGACGCGUCCGGUGCCCACCGGACUAAAACACAGAGAGGUCUGAAAUCUGCGCGAGCAUCAAACGAUGGUCACCGGACGCUCGCCUAGCGUCCGGUGCCUCAUGGCAUGCCUCGGGGAACACCGGGCGCACCUCACUAGACGCGCUCAGUGCACUGUGCGCAGGUCCGGUGAGUGCAGACCGGGAGACCCACCACACCGGACGCACUAGGGUGCGUUCUGUGCACUUUUACGUAGAUUUUCAACAGGGAACUUUACCCGACUUUCACCCAACAAAGUUCCAACUUCAAGAAGAGUCAAAUAAACACAAAUUUGAACUGGUAUGAGUGUUCUCUCUCAAACCCUCAAAUUUUCAUAAAUAUUUAGCCUUAGGCAUAGUAGUUUUUAUGAAAAUAGUCAAAUGAAAGCACCCAGGAGCAUCAUGUGGCCAUAAAUCUAGGGGUCUAAAUCAUGAUGAGUUUUGAAUGCUCCCCCUAUCAAUGGACGAACACAGUGGAUGCUCAAAGCAUAAUAAAAAUGAAAUCGUAAAACAAACAAGCAUGCGUAUGAUAUGAAGUGCAAUGCAUUACUUGAAAGUAAACUAAUGCUUGUCAAGUUUGAUCCAAGGUUAAGCUUUUUCACACACACAUGGGGGUUAUCUUAACCAUGUUAGACAAGCCCUACUCAUAAGCUUUUUGUAUUUUCAUUUUUGGUAUGCAUGACAUGCAAAGCAAAAGCUAUUUACAAGGACAUCUCUUGACACUUGGUAACACCAUUUGAAUACUAGGUUCUCAUCCCCAGCAUGGCGCUAGAGUGUACUAAGGUAUUUAUGAAUAUCAAGGCUCUCUAGAAAAUAAUCUAUUCUAUCCGCAAGCGCACAGAUAAAAUACCUCAUUGUAGCAUUUCACCAGGAAAGUAUUCCGGGUAUUGUUAUUUAUAUUUUGCUUAAGAGAACGGCGAAAGUGGAAACAGGGGUAAAUCUAUCCAGCCAUAGACUAGAGAUAAACUUGCAAGAACAUGAUUACUAAUGAGAAACUCAUCUCACAGUCACUUGCUUCGACAGGGGGUAAGCCAUAAUAAUAAAGAUAAUGAAAUAUAGCUCAUGGGUAAAUAACACAGCGAUUAGAAAUAGACUACUACAUAUAAAUGUAAGGUGACAUCGGAUUAGCUAGAGAAUGGAUUCUAAGUAUCUACUAUCUACUAAGUCACAAUCUACUCUAGGCAUCUACAAGAUCAUAUAUAGCACAAGAGACUCUUCAUUCAUGUAUAAGGAACAUUGCUAAAGUAAAUCAGAACAUAGCAUGACUUACUCCGCAAUACAAAUUCUGCCUGUCCUACUAACGGAUGGUGGACUAUAUAAGAAUCAACGAAGCUGUCACCAUUGCGAACUACCACACAACCCGGCCAAUAGGACACAUUUGCACGUAAAUAGUAUCUAAGCACCACGCCCACAUAUGAUCUACCACUUAGCUCCCACAUGUCAAGAGCUAAGCGCUUUGCAAACUUAUGCAUAAACUCAUUAUCAAUUAUAACUAUAUCAAAUAUAGAACUAGAGAAAACUAAGAACAUAAUAAAUAGAGACAUAAUGCAAUUAGAAUAAAGUCGUAGAGAAAGAUAUGAAAUAAUACCAAUCUUUAUUGAUGCAGAUCCGAAAUCCAAAGCGCUAGGCUCUACUUCUCUAAUUCUAUCUAAUCAAUCCUAUAGAACUUGAAAGAAUUGGGAGUAGCUAAUUCUAGUUCUCUACGGUAGAAAAGUUCCUAAACCCUAACUUUGAUGGCUUCCUCUAAUAAUGAUUUCUCCUCUCCCCCUGGGGUGGAGAGGCCUUGCUUAUAUAGCCCCCUCAAAUGAACGUGGGUCGUCGGAUCAAACCGACCUUAAUCGCACGGUUUUCCUUGAAGAUUAGAGGUGGUGGAGCAUGAUCCAGGAGACGGAGCCUGAUUGGCCCCUGUAGCUGGGCGGGCGCCCAAGGGGGUUGGGCGGGCGCCCUGCCCCCGGACCCGUCUGGCCUCCCGUUCGCUCCCGUGGCUUCUAGACUGUUCUAGGUUGAGGAAAAUUGCCGCACACAUAAUUAUCUCGUUGUAAACCCGACGUGUGGGCCAUCCUUCCAUAGUUUUUGAUAACCCCCUACAGAAAUAGACAAACACCAAAACUCGUGGAAUUCUAUCAGAUAAAACCUUAAUUCUAUGUGUUUGGUGCAUAUUGAUCCUUUUCCAUGUUUAGUUGACGGUUGAAUUUGGCACUUAAGGACCAUCAACAAACUCCCCCAAGCUUACCCUUUGCUCGUCCCUGAGCAAACAGCUAAACUCAAAUGGAUCAGGAGUUUCUUUGAUGUUUUCUUUCCUGACAGGCACACAUGCUUUCAUAUAGAAUUCUCCCAAAUUAGAGUAAAGUGUCAUGGAGCUUAGUACCUGCACUUAAGUCUUGGGUAGUUGAAAGACAAAAUAAUUAAGUCAAGCACUAUUCCUCCUAUCUAUACUUCACCUUUGUUCUAGAGUUUUGCAUAAGUUUUCAAAAAUAAAGCCCAUAGUUCCUAGACAUGACUCUCUCUCAAGUCUCUUUAUAUGUGGUAUUUGUGGAUCCUUACCAAGGUGUCACUUACCUAUAGCUAAUGGAAAGUUUAGGUGGAGCUUAUAGGUGUGAAAAAUAGCUCAUACAUAUGUUGUUUAAUCGAACCAUGGAUCCAAAGUAAUUCAGCAUAUAAUUAAAUCAAAAUGUGCAUGUGCGGUGGAGUAAAUGAUAGUAAUGGUGAAAAUGUAUAAGUGAUGAUAAAACUUAGUUCUCAUUGCUCCUCAUAUUGAUAUCUCUCCACCUCUCUUGAUCUUUGCUUUGGGAGAACAUGGGCUAUCUUUUCUUCUCUUUUUUUUCAGGUGGGUAGUAAAUACCCCUAAUUCUACUGUCGGACACUUGUCCAUUUUUCCGCUCAGGUGGGCAUCUUUGUACCCCUAAUUCUACUCCAGACACUUGUCCAUUUUUACCUCUCGUCUCGCUCUUUUUCUUUCUUUUUUGAGGUUUUGGGCACUUGCCCCUUUUUAUUUCCUCGUAUUUUUUUGCAUAACCCAUGCCUCUUCUGCAUUGAAUCUUUUUGGGGAGAGAGAAUAACAACACUUGGGAACAGUGAGUGAUAACAAUAUUUUUAGCAGAUUUUUGAUGAAUGGUGGUGGAUAGUGUAAUAGACGUGUGCAAGUGAGUAUCUUGAUUUAACUACAUGAAAAGCUCCUAAGGGUCUACACAGCUCGAUCAAACUCAAUGCGAAUAUAAGUAGCAAAAGAUAUAGAAAUUAUAGCAAGUAUGGCGGUGGUAGGAAUUUUUCAUGCUAGGAACUCAUCAUAUGAUUUGCAAGUUUUCAAAAAUGAAUCUCCAGAACUUAGUGUAGUAAGAACAAGAUAAAUAGUAGCUCAAACUUUAUAUCAUGUCUAUCUCUUACCUAGACUUUAGUUUUUGGUUCAUGCUCCCAUAGAUAUUAAAUUUCAAGUUUUAGCAAUUCCUGGGAGAACUCUAAUUUGAAAGCUAGGUACUUGAAAGUAAGUAAACAGAGCAACUGUUCAUCAUUUCCAUCAUGCAUCUUUUUGGUUUUUUCAUUUUUUCUAGAGAUUAAACUUAGGAGGAAAAAUAAAGCACACUUAUGUACACACUCUUUUUUAUGUGGUUUUUCAUUUUUAAGGAAUGCAGUAAAUUAAGCAAGAAAGUAUUUAUUGGGUUUUCUAAGCUUCUCAUUUUUUUUGAAAUACUAAAACAGAAAAAUAAAAAAGAAAAACAAAUAAAAACUUACUCGGUAAAACAGGGAGGAACUCCCCGUUGCUGGAUGUGGUUGUGUCGGCCUUACUCAAUGUUCCAGAACCGCAUCAUGGUGGUGAUGUUGUCGUUCAUCGUCAUGGUGUCUCGCCUCAGGUCUUGUACUGCAGCGGCGUGGUCCUAGUUCCACUUUUGUUGCUGUUCCAGGAGUCGUCCAUGCUCAAUUUGCAUAUCUUGG
rnacentral:lncRNA from 1 species